UAGGUCUUUCCUUCUCACUCGACGCAUGAAAUAUGGACUAAGCAAACUUAAACCAACAACGAUUUGACUAGUGUACUCAAUGAACUCUAUCAGCUCGUAACAAUUCCCAAACUAAGAAUGAAUCACCAUAUAAACAUAUAAGCAGUGCACGAGUAAUAUAAUCUCAGCAACAUUAUACAUCAAGCUAUGCGCGAAAUAAAGAUCUAAAGUAGAAAAUGAACCUUGAGUGAAGCAAUAACAGACUUGGAAUAUACAGAGGAACUUCAUAGAGGCUGGAAUAACAGCUACUACAAUAUGAUAGAUCCGCAAUGAAAAACCUCAUCAGAACCACGGACGGAACCUCGUCGUGAACUCAAACCACUCAAACAAAUUCCACUCCGGAGGAUCGAAAAUCCGAAACUAGGGAGAUGAAACAGUAUUUUUAAAUCAUACUCGUACUCGAGGCGUAAAAAUGGGGACCGGUCAGAUCUACAAUUGUUCCGGUAAACAAACAAGACCAUGUCUCAAAGCAGCUUUAAAGCUAAGCUGAAGAUAGUAGCAACAGUAACCAACUAAAUGUUGAAAUGAAGAUGAAGCUCGACUUAAAUUGAGCUUUUCAAUUAACGAGAACCUCUAACGUUACAUAUUCGGUUUGGAUACGAAAUUCCUAUAGCCUAUGACGAUGACUAGAACCUGAACCGUGUACGCCGACGAACUUUGGACUUUGACUUCAAACGGACUCAAAUCCAGACCUCAAACUUACCGGAGUCAGUGACGCUACUACCACGACGAUGAUGACACUGUUAGAUCUAAAACCAUCCGACAUAGAAGUGAAGAACACGAGAAUAGUGGUGAUGAAACAGUCGCCAAAUUAGUUUUCCGGUCAGAUCGAAACCAAAAUUUCCGGCCAGACCAUGAUUGAAACGACAGUAGAGGUGAGGAGAUCAGGAGUUCAGGGUUUGGGAUGUCUUUGUGUUGAACGGCGGGUUCUUCAAUAAAAGGGGUGAUAUGAAGAAAAAGAAUAUAUUCAGGGGGGGUCAUUUGGUGUUCUGCGGUGGAUGUUUAUUUUACUUUAGGUCUAGGUCUUUUUUUAGCUGAUCCCUCUCUAGGUUAGAAUGUUAUCUAUAUCUAGAAUUAAUUAGGUUUUUAGGGUGUUGGGUUUAAUGGGUUUUUGGGCUUUAAAAUUGAAAUUGGGUUGGGUCCAUGUCUUAUUGGGUCUUAAUUUUGGGCUAAGAAGACUAAAAUAUAAAAAUAUAAAAUUUACUCUUAAUUAAUUAGAACACACUACUAAAAUAAAACUAGAUAUUAAAAGUGCAACUAUUUGUUUUGUAUUUUCAAGAUUACAUAAAGAUAAAAGUAAGGUACUACUUUUGUAUUUUUUUUAAUUUUAUGAAAGAUACAUAAAAUAAUAUAUAUUUUUAUUUUUUAUUUUUGUGACGAAAUAAAGUAAAAGAGUCAAAAUUAGUUAAAAUAGCGAUAUUAAGCCUAAACUAAAUAUUUACAUGCUAAAAUAUAAAAAAUCUUGGGGCGGGUCAAAAAUCACAUGUCUACAGUAACUGGGCCAAUAUGGCGACAACUCGUAAUGUAUAACUAUAAGUGGGAAAACACUGUAUCAAUGAACCAUCUUUCUUAAAAUAUGAAUACAUAUGGGCCGUCAAGGCCUCUGACAUACUGUACAAAAUGUUACUCUGUCUAACAAGCCUCUAAGAGUAUUUGACAUCAAAUGGGACAGGGUACCAACCUACCCAUAAGUCUAUAACACAAUUCUGACAUGAUGACUCAUAGACUCGGCUGCACUCCGAAUGAGGUGGAGUCUUACUGAUCCUUCGCGGAAUACUAACCUCGUCUACUAUGAGGGAUCAUCAAACUGAUUGUCUAUACCUACAGGCAUGGAUGCAGUGUCCCCAACAAAAGGACGUCAGUACGAAAAAUGUACCGAGUAUGUAAGGCACAUAAAUAAGUAUAUAAAAGACAUGGAAGAAACAUGGAGUAAAUGACUUAACCUGUAAGUCUUGAUAACUCUAUAAAUCAUGAAAUACUUAUAGUGUCAUGCAUAUGCGUAUGAAUGUCAUGUCGUGCAUAGGUACAUGUAUUCAUAACAUCAUCAAGCCUCUGAGGCAUCCUAUCAUAUCAUUGUUUACCUUGAAAAUGGUAAUAACAAUUAGAUUUGAUUUUCUGGUUCUAAAAAUAUGUGAUAUGUUUUUAUGCUAGUUGUUAGGCAAUAGAUGCUAAGUGAAAGAUUAGAAAAAAUAAGAUAAUAGCUUAUAGAUAGUAUAAUAACCAAACAGAAUGGCUUAAAAUCGAAGCCUCGAGCUUGUGUCUAUGGGGCCUCAAGGUUGAGUUGGGUGCCCGGCUAAGGACAAUCGACGUAGGAUUAACAGUUAUGAUAAAUUCGAUGGUGGCUCUUUAUGAUCGAAAUGAGCUAUAAAUGAAGAACAAUAAAUAGAACACAAUGAAUGUAAGUAAUAAAUGUACGUAGUGAGAUCAAGAGAAUAUGUUAAGUUAGGGAGCAGAGAGAAUAUUCUUGUAUAUCAAUAUUGUGUAUUAGACCCCCCUACAAAAUGGCAAGGAUCCCCUUUAUAUAUGAGGGGGAAUCCCAAUAUAGUUCAAAUGCAUUUAUUACAAAGAUAUGGGAUUGAUACAACCAUUUAAUGCCGUGAUACGGGUUUGAACUAGCCUAAUAGACUUUGUUAGCUCUAGUCACGUGCCUUGGGAACCUCACAUCGAUCCCCCUAGCCACUGGUUUACAUUGCCUCGAGGCUGAUCAUUGUUUACACUGCCACGAGAUCGAUCACUGAGAACCCACGGGGUCGAAACCCGAGCUGAUCUUCGAGCCUUCUAGGGGUUGUCUUUACGAGGCACCUUAAUUAUCAUAAAAUUGGACCACUGAUUUUUACCGUAUACAGAUAGUCCCCGCAUUUCUUAGAGUGAAACGAUAAGAAAUGACUUUGAUAUCUAUCUCCUCGAGUUUUCCGUGAUGAUGUCAUACUUAUGACGUAAGCCUUCGUGAUAACUAGAGCGUCCCAUUGGUUCGUCUUUCCAGAAUCAUUCAAGGUACCGCCAGUUUAUAUUUUUCAAAGAGAAAAUAUCGCCGCCGGUCCAUUUCCCAAAAAUGCAUUAAUUGCACCUGUAGGUACUUUUUCCAAAGACAUUGAUUAUGCCGUCGGUUACGCUUCCACCCUUUCUAUAAAUGGAAGUUUUCUUGAACCAAAACUUCAUUCAAACAUUCCUCAACAGCCUUUUACUCCUCUCUUUUCUUCAUCCUCACCCAACGCUAUUUCCAAUGUUUGAAGCCCGUGGCCAUAAGGUCAUACGGUAGGGUACUCAUCAGUUAUGUCAUGGACCUUUCGCAGAGCUUUCCCCUACUGAGUGGGAUUGCACUGGUUUGUUGUUGUUGGCCCAAAAUAAUGAGAGAGAAAUCUCAAAUUAUCUUCGCAUUAAAGGAUAUGCAGACUAUGAACUUUUACUCAUCUCUCUUAAUUACCCGAUGUGGCACUUCACUCUUUUUGCUUUUCGUGGAGUGAGGUGGUACCAUCUACUAACUGUUGCAUCCCACACCGGCGCAAUGACUCAAGAAGUGGCUUCACAAUAGUAGUGCUGGCGAGACCUAUACUCGCCAGAUUUUUCACCUAGCCACUUCUUUAUUUUUUUCUACUUCUUUAUCUUUUUCUGCUUCUUCUUCAUCUUUUUCUUCUUCUUCUUCUUCUUAUUCAUUGUUUUCUACUUCUUCUUCAAUCUUGAAAAUACCGUUUGAAAGACCGAGAUGAGGCCCCCAAGGAAAUGGUUCCCGAAGAUACUGCCCCCGAGGAUGUAUCCUCGAGAGCAGAUUAGGCUUGUAGCUGUUAUAUGUAUAUAUUUUUUGGCUUUUGUUUCUGCGUAAGGACCCUUCAUGGGCUUUUGUAAUCAUUGUUUACUAAUGAAAAGGUGUUUCUUCAAUUUUAUACCUGAUUUAUGCUGAAUUUCCUUUUAUUUACAUUUGCGAAGAAUCUGAGUUCAUGACCCUACCGAUCAGUCCGAAUACCGGGCUUGGGGUGUAGGUAUUUCCCCCAUUCCUGAUUAGUUAAUACGAUAUCCCGUGGAGCCCUUUAUCGUUCCUCGGUUUGAGCCCAGAUUGAAUUGAUACAAGCUUAGGCCGCCAGGACUCCCGACUUCGAGUUGAGUGAGAGUAAGGCUUCGAAUUUUUAGAAUGAAACUUAGCCUUUCAGACCCCAUCGAUAGUCCUCGAGGGGGAAUUUGCUCGGACGCCUGAGAAUAAAGAUAGCCCUUUGGCUUUCGAAGGCAGUCCCCGAGUGAGAGUUCGCUCAAGCUUGGGCGACCUGAAAAUUUGUUUUGAACUUAGAGCGAUAAUAGCCUUAAGGCGUUAUAGAUAGAUCCCGAAUGAGGGUAUGCCUGGACUCAGAUAGCCCCUGGAUUAAAGUAACCGAGAGGACAUUUAACUUGAUCCGAAGGCGAGAAAUAGCCCUAAGUGUUUAUUAGUAGUUUUUGAGUGAAAAUUAGCUCGGGAUCAGGUAGCUCAAGGGCCAGAGGAUCGGGUAAAUGACCCGCAUUUGCAAUAGCAAAAAUCCUCGAGGUAGGGUACCACCUUGAGGUUAGGGCCGUAUGAGUAGAUUUUUAGAGCUUAUAUUCUUUUUGAUAGAGGUCCUCGAGAUCGGGUACCAUCUUGAGGCUUGUAAUGAUAUCAAUGGCUCCUUAGAGCCUAUCUUCUUCUUGACAAAGAUCCUUGAGAUCAGGUACCAUCUCGACGCUUGUUGAUGCGAGGGUCUUUGAUCCCCAAAACAUCGUACGACAACGUUAAUUGCAUGACAUAGUUAUGAAACGACCGAGGCAAUCCCACUGGUACACCUUACCAAAGCAAAAAUGGCUUAGUCAGUAUUUUUAAUUGGCCUUUGAGGCAGGCGGACAAUCACCGCUUUCUCUAUAUAUAGGGUUGUCUUUCCUCCUUUAAGGAUUCUUCUAUUUUGAGUAGUUAUCCUCAUUCAUAAAGUUCUUCUUUCCUGUGUUAGGUCCUUCACCAUUUCAACUUUGAAGCCCCUGCUCAAAUUCCCUAGUUUUACUACAGUUGUGGCUGCUACGCCAGGGUCCGCUUGACAAGAGGAAGCGAGUUACGCCUUUGGUUCCCGCCUGGUUGGUGGUGCGCCGCUGGUGCUAGGCGAGCCAUCCUCAGGACAUUUUGUUUCGAGGGGGAACUUUCCAUCAGAAAAAACCUCCCAAUGUUCGAGGUCAUUGGGAGUAUGCCUCGAAGUUUAUUUCUUUAAUAGGAGAGGGGCACCUUGAGUUAGUGAGGAAAGAUUGUGGAUGGGGGGAAAAGGUAGUACUGCGUGUACCUUCCCUAGAUGAGAGCAUCAUGGAUCAUGCCGAGGGUCUUUUGAACGUAUACACAUACCCUUUUAUGCUGGGCCUCCUUGAUAGGGUCAUGCUCGGCUUCUAUAGAGAGUACCAGGUUGCCUUGGCACAGGUUCAUCCGUCAUUUUGGAGGAUAGUAUUGAUGAUGAGGUUAUUUGCGGGAGAAGAAGGGCUUAACUUCACCUUAGUCAUCUCAUCAGGUUGUACCAGCCUUUUCACUAUCGAGGUCUGCUAACCCUACGAUGCCGAUCCACCACGCCCUUCGUUGUCGAUAAUGAAGAAGAUGGGGAUCGGGGCUGGAUGAGCCGAUUCAUCUGAGUAUGGACUAUUGAUAUUAUCCACGCGGAGUUUCUGCCAUUUCCUGAGGAAUGAAAUUUUACACUUAAGUGGUACACUUGUACCUUCGUUGUUUUGCUUAUGGGGGAGGCGUGCUCCGUAAAUGCGCCUUUCUUUCCCUUUCUAUAGCAAUUCCAUGGAUGCCAUACGAGGUCCCUGACCUGAUGAAUUGGGCUUGCAAGUUGGCGGCCCACUCGACUUACGAUGAGCGUAAGUGGUGAGCCUUGUCUAAUGGUAUAUGGGAGGCAAAACACCACAGUAUGUGCUAUGUGAUUUGCUCUUUUUUUGAAAGGCACUUUCUUUUUAUGCGUACUAACUCCAUCAUCGUAGGCAUUGGGGAGUUCUUUGAGGUGAGAUCAUGCCUUCUCGGAGAGGGAGAAGGACCGUCAGCUUUGGGGCCGAGGGACAAUAAUAAUAAGCAGGAAGGGCCUUCGCAGAGCAACGGUGAUUAUAGUAAGACGAGUCCAGCCCGGAGGCUCAGAGAGGGUGUAUCAACUGAGCCUACAGCGUCCGAGAUCUCUAGUUUCAGAAAAACAAUCCCUCAUCUGCUGCCGUCUUCUUUUCUAGUCGAAGGUACCUCGAGGAACUAGGGUUCUCUACUGCCGACUUCUUCUCCCGUCAAAGGCACUUCGAGGGAUGUUCAAAGCCAGGGGCCGCAUAUAUCGAGCGAUUGUAUCCCAACCUAGAGUAGUUCUAUUGGGGUUAGUGGAGUCAAACUAGUAGAUACACGCUCAACUUUUGAGGAAGCUCAGCGGCUCUACUCUGUGGUGAGUUUUGGCCAAUCGUAUUGGUUGUAUAAUUUUUGUAAUUUUUACUCUCUUAUCGAGUGUCUCCUUCAUAGGCUUUUAACAAGCUCAAGUCUGAGCUGCUUUAUCAUGAGACCAAGCUGUGAAAAGCCGUUGAUGGGGAGAAAUCCCUCAGGCUUCUUUGCGAUGAAAGGGAAGACGAGUUGGAACACUUGCGAUAUGAGGCGAGUCGAAGUCUGAACUACGAAAGCUACCUCGAGGAGCAGGUAAUUUUUGUUUCAAGGGAGUGUGUGUUUCUUCUUCUAUCUUCUGAGGCUAAUGUUUUGUUUACUUCAGUUUCAGAAAAAGACGGAAGACCUGGAAUGCCUUUGGAGUGAAGUUGUCAAGCCAAGCGUAAGCGUGUUGAGCUAAGGCUCGGGUGGACACCCAGGUUGUGGCUAAGAAGGAUUCUCUGGCCAAGGGUUUCGCCCUCCAAGUGAAACUUUGCAACACUCAUGAGAACAACUUGGUCCGAAUGGACAUGAUUUCAAGGCUCGAGUCUGAGCUUGUGAAUAUGAAGGCUGAAGUUAUGGAUGCCCAGGCUGAAGCUGAAGCAAUCCGAACUAAGGCUGAUAAGAAAGUGGUCGUCUAUUUGAAGGACGCUGCCAACGCUCGUACUAAGCUGAGAGGGGAUCUCGACCAGGAGAGUAGGAGCAAAGAGUAUGUUAGGUGUAAAUCUUAGAGGGAAACCCUCGAGGAGAUCCAUGCCAAGGUCUUUGAUCUCUCAGAAGAGAUAAAGCAGGCGGAGGUAGACGAAUAUGAUGCUAAGUUCCUUUUGUUCGAUGCUAAAGAUAGAGAGAAAGAGGCCGACGGGCCAUAGUCCCCACGGGGGACGUAAAUUAGGCCUUGCUUUUCUGAUUUUAUGUAUAGUGUUUUUAAAGAACAUGGAGCUUUGUAUUUUUUCACAUGUACGUUUAUAAAAGGAAGCCUUGCAGUUUCAUUUUUUACGCACUUCCCUUUGCUUUGACGUUUGUCAGUCAUUAGCCAUAUUGAACUGGUCUUCGAGUUAAAAGGAACCCUUAGGUUUGUAGUACAACCCUGGGGCUCGUGGGGCUGGCCAAUAGGCUCUUACGCAUUUGGUCGGUACGACCUAUUAGCAUGAGCCGACAUUUGAGCUCUUAAGCUUUACUCUUAGGUAUAUUCAGUUAACUGUUUUGAGUUCAGUCUUCGAGUCGGAUUUAGACUCGAGCUCAUUGACCCUUAAGUUUUUGAAUUUAAAGCUGGCCUUUAGGCUCUUAUGCGUUAGGUUGGUACGACCUUUUAUAUGGGUUGGAGACAGUGGCUCUUACGCAUUGGGUUAGUACAACCCUUUAUAUGGGCUGGCGAUAGUGGCUCUUACGCAUUGGGUUGGUACGACACUUUAUAUGGGCUGACGAUAGUGGCUCUUACGCAUUGGGUCAGUACAACCUCUAAUAUAGGCUUUAUUUUUCCAUUGUUAAGGACUUUUUGAAAUUGUGUUUGCCUGACUCUUCGACGGUUCGAUAAAAACCUCAAUUGUGAGUCGUUAUGUGGCGAUGAGAACCUUGGGAGGUUUUGCUCGGUGGCUCAGUGUUUGAAGCCUAUAAUUUGGAGCUGACAUGGUCGAAGCUCUUUUGCCUAUGUCGAGGGUAGCCUGUUUAACCGGUUCUUUUCAAAGUAUUUUCAAAGUAAUUGAAGGCCAGUGAUUUUAUAGUGAUGAUCGGGCAUCCCCGAGUCACAUUAGUUUGGCUGGUACAGCCUUGUGACCGUAGUCAUUGUGUUUGACUGGAGCCUUUUAGUCCCCCAGUGAAGUAGUUUCAGCAUCUGUAUCGAGGGUAUGCCUUUUUAGGGGUCUUACAAGGUCGAAUAUAUAGCCUUAACUUUAAGGUCGGGAUAAUGCCUUUUUGUAAGAUCUUAUAAUUUUUACAUGCCUUUGAGGUCUUACAGUUUUGGUUACUUGGUACAAGUAUGGUUCAUGCCUUGCUUGAGGUCUUAGAGUUUUGGUUACUUGGUACACGUAUGGUUCAUGCCUUGCUUGAGGUCUUACAGUUUUUGGUGUUGCCUUAUAAAGGUCUUACGAGGUUGAGGUUGGCCGUACGGGGUCUUAUGGCCUCGGCAGUCCCUGAGACAUUGAAAGUUUUCUUGGCUCUGGAGCCAUUUUUGUAUACUUGAUGUUGCCAUAUUGAGGGCUUACGAGCUUGAAGCUUCUGACCAGGGGGUCAUACGGUUUUGAGUUUUUGACGUCAGUUCCCGAGUGUUCGGGAUGUUUUUGGCUCUAGAGCCAUUUUUUGUAAAAAAUACCAAACUCCUUUGAAACGCGAAAUGCUUUGAUGGAGGGGAAAGUAUUAUUUGAUUACUUAGUACAAGCAUACACGUUUUGCUGUUAAGGGAUCGAUUAUUCUAUACAGACACAGUUCGUUCGACUAUUUGGCCUGAUACAUCAUUUUCCUAUCGAGACCCCAUUUAGCACGUCUUGCCUUCUAUGAGGAGGUGACCUUCAGGGGGGAUGCCCCCUAGUAUUCGAGGUUGAUUGAAGAGAAGCCUUGAAUACUUGAUGAGUCUUCCUUAGGUAGCAUAUGGAUGUUGCCUCAUUAAAAACCUUGCCGGUAAAACCCUUCUUGGGAUAAAAACCAGGUCGAAGGAAAAGAGUACAACAUAUGCUUUUUGAACCUAAGGCCUUCGAGUUGGAAAGCACUUCGGAUUUCGAUCGGAUACUUGCACUCAGGUUAGUAUAAAAUAUAACUACUAAAAAUAAUGAGAUGAUCAUACCUUAGUGCUAACGGCACUUCGGUCCUCGAUAUGUUUCAAUCGAUUGUUCUGAGGACGCGGUACGGUCCUUUUCUUUGUUAAGUCAGGUGUAGAUGAGAAUAUAGCUUGUUAUUGCUAUUUUACUGUUUGCUUAUCCUUUGGCUCCCUUGACGGUGGAGGUAUUGGCGCCAGUGCCACAUCGUGCACCGCAAACAUCUCUUUUGCUGCAUGUUGUUCCCCGUAGAUGGUUUUUAUCCCACCCUUUGUCAUAAAUUUCAUCAUUUGAUGGAGGGUGGAUGGUACUGCUCUCAUGCAGUGUAUCCACGACCUUCCGAGCAAUGUGUUGUCCCUCAUGUCUCCUUCGAUGACAUGGAGUUUGGCAUUUUGGAUAGUGCCGACCACGUUGACCGGGAGGGUGAUUUCUGAUUUCGUUGUUUUGCUCGCCAUGUUGAACCUGUUGAGGACUCGAGAAGCGGGCACGAUUUGGUUAAGCUGUCUGAGCUGCUCCAUCACCCUCGACCUGAUAAUAUUGGUCGAGAUACCUGGAUCCACAAGUACAUGUUUAAUUUGAAAUGUAUUCACAAGAAAAGAGAUAACCAAUGCGUCGUUAUAAGGCUGAGACAAGGUCUCGAUGUCAUCGUUGCUUAAGGUGCGAGCAUCCUCGGGUAUGUAACCUUGAGUUCGCUUUUCCCUGGUGAUGGAUAUUUUUGUUCUCCUGAUCAUGGGUUCUUAUGGAUCAUCGAUGCCUCCUAAGAUCAUGUGGAUGACAUGUUGUGGCUCAUUUGUUUCAUUCUUCUUGGUCGCCUCUCUUUCCGGAACUAAUUUUUGGCUCGAUUGCUAAGGAAUUCUCGGAGGUGACCUUUGCUGAGUAGUCGGGCUACUUCUUCCCGUAGUUUUCGGCAAUCCUAGGUUCUGUGACUGUGUGUGCCAUGAAAUUCCCACACUAAGUUAUGGUUCCUUUGCGAAGGAUCUAAUUGUAUAGGCCUUGGCCACCUGGUGUCUCUGAUUUUACUGAUGGCGAAUACGAUAUCUGAAAUAUCGACGUUGAAGUUGUAUUCCGACAAGCGAGGUGCCUCCGUUGGCCCUGUGUGCCUGUCGAACCCAGCUCUGUUAACGAGUCCCUAAGGAUUCUAGCCUUGAUCCAUCCUUUGGUCAUUAUGGGGUAUGUUGCGCCCUGGGGCGUUUCUUCUAUCUUCAGUGUAUGGUUGGUAUCUUUCUUUGAUAGGCUUUGUCUCCUUUUCUGGAAGCCUGCUAGGAUAUACCGAGCCCGAGGGGGCUCCUAGUUGGUCGUCUUCAACUCUAAUCUUUGAUUGGUAUCGUUUGUGGACGUCCGACUAAGUCACAACGGGAUAUUCGACUAAGUUCGGCUUCAGCUGCUUCGAAGCUACCGAGCUUCGCUCGUUCAAGCCUUGAGUGAAGUCCUGCACUACCCAGUCAUCGUAGACUGGUGGUAGUUCCAUUCGUUCCAUUUGAAAGCGAGAUACAAACUCUUGCAGCAUCUCAUUCUCCUUUUGCUUGAUUUUGAAGACGCCGGAUUUCCUUGUUGCUACCUUGAUGUCACUAGCAUGUGCCUUUAUGAAGGAAUCUGCCAGCAUGGUGAACGAAUCUAUCGAGUUUGGGGCUAGUUUGUGAUACCACAUCAUCGCCCCUUUCGAAAGCGUCUCUUUGAACUUUUUUAGUAGGACAGAUUCGAUCUCGUCGUCCUUUACUGCACAAGUGUAAGCAAUGAUGUGCUCGUUGGGGUCCGAGGUUCCGUUGUAUUUCGGAAGGUCGGGCAUUCAUCUUUGGAAUAGGUUUUGGGUCCGCUUCCUAUGGGAAUGGUUUUUGUACGAACUUCUUCAAAUUUACACCCUUCAAGAUCGGGGGUGCGCCCGGAAUUUGAUCGACCCUAGAAUUGUAGGUCUCCACCUUCUUGUCGUUGGCUUCUAGCUUCUUCUUUCCUGACUCGAUCCUCUUUGUGAGGUCCUCGAGCAUCUUUAUGAUGGCGGGGUCGGAUGCAGACCUGUUAUUGCUUGAUCUUUCUGGUGCCUACUGGGCUUGGGGAGCCGUUUCUGGUGCUACCGUGCUGGGAGUUUUCUGGUGGCUUUGUAGGUGAGCAAUUGUCGGCUGUUGUGCCUGUAAUAUUUCGAAAAUAACGUGAAGUCUAACCUCUCGUUCUUCCCUAGCUUGGGUUUUCUGAGCUUCUUGUUGGUCUCCUUGGCGCAAGCUCCUAUUAGUGUGGGAGCUUAUAUCGAUGUGUUGGGCAUCGCGUCAGACCACAUCUGCGGGGAUUGGCUCUGGCGCGUCCCCAAGGUUUAGUGGUGGUGCGCCAAUACCCGGAACAGAUACACCAUUCUCCCCAUGGUCCUCAAGACCGUUGUUUUCAUAUGCAUUCACUGAGUUAGACAUUUUAACCAAAAAUUAAAGGUUCUUGGACAAGAAAAAGCAUGAAAGAUAACUUGCAUUAUGUAGUAAACCAGAGAGAAAACAAUCACUAUUAUUUUUAGCCCCACGGUGGGCGCCAAACAGUUUACCUUGAAAAUGGUAAUAAUAAUUACAUUUGAUUUUAUGGUUCUAAAAAUAUGUGAUCUAUUUUUAUGCUAUUUUUAGGCAAUAGAUGCUAAGUGAAAGCUUAGAAAAAAAAUAAAAUAAUAGCUUGUAGAUAGUAUAAUAACCAAACCGAAUAGUUGGAAAUCGGAGCCUCGAGCUUGUGUAUACGGGGCCUCGAGGUUGAGUCGGGUGCGUGGCUAAGGACAGUCGAUGGAGGAUUAACAGCUAUAAUAAAUUCGAUGGUGGCUCUUUAUGACUGCUAAUGAGCAACAAAUGAAGAACAAUAAAUAAAACACAAUGAAUGCAAGCAAUAUAUGUAAGUAGUGAUAUCAAGAGAAAAUGUAAGUUAGGGAGCAUAGAGAAUGUUCUUGUAUAUUCAAUAUUGUGUAUCAAAUCUCCCUACAAAAUGGCAAGGAUGCCCUUUAUAUAUAAGGGGGAAUCCCAAUAUAGUACAAAUGCAUUUAUUACAAUAAUAUGGGGCUGGUACAACCAUUUAAUGUCGUGCUACGAGUUUGAACUAGCAUAAUAGACUUUGUCAGCUCUAGUCACGUGCCUUGGGAACCUCACAUCGAUCCCCCACAGCCGUUGGUUUACAUUUCCUCGAGGCCGAUCAUUGUUUACACUGCCUCGAGGUCAAUCAAUGAGAACCCAUGGGGUUGAAACCCUGAGCUGAGCUUCGAGCCUUCUGGGGGCGGUCUUUAUGAGGCGCCUUAAAGAUCAUAAAAUUGGACCACUGUUUUUUACUGUGUACAAUCAUCUUGGCCACUGUGGGAAAAAUCAUCAAUGUAUACCAACUGAUCAGGUGGUGGUGCAUAUAUAACGUCGUAACCUUUUCCCAUAUCCUAUAUGUACAUAUACAUAUAUAAAUAUAUAUACAUAUAUAUAUAUAUAUAUAUAUACAUAUAUAUACAUGUAUAUGCAUAUAUAAUAUCAUCUGGUCAUGGGUCAGUGUAAAUGUAUGCAAUGCAUGAGGAGUAUGCCAAAAUCUUUCGGAGUGUCAUAAGACCAUUUUUCCUUUGGCUAAUAUCAUGAAAUAAACUUUAUCAACUUACGUAUUUUCUGAGACCCAUGAACAGAUGACAGAAUAUUAUGACACAUGGAGAAUCAAGAACAUAAGCAUCUCUAGUAUUUCUAUGAAUAGAGUCAUUUAUGGAAAUUGUGCAUUUGCUCUUUUCAUUUGUGUCGCAUAGAUCAUGCCAACAGAAGGGAUAGCCUUAACAUACCUGAAUCAGUUCUCUUGACAAUCCCUCUAAUAUAUAACAAUUGUGACCAACACAUGACAACAAGAUCGGCGUACAAAAAAAACCUGGAUGAUAUUCUUGGGAAAGAUUGCACCGUGCUCCCUUAAAAUUGUAACAUCUCACGUCGUGAUGCUAAGAGAUAUUGUUUGAAUUUUUGUUUAAAAAAAGUCACAUUAUAAGGAUGCUAAUAUGCAAACUUUUUUCUUGAAUUUGCUGAAGUGAAUUAUAGAUGUUAAAGAGAUAUCCACAUCUCUUUAAGUGAAUUAGAGAAGGGGUCUUAAGGUCUUGGUGGUGUGGGCCCCACUUUGAAGACUUGGCCAUCACAAUUCAUCCAAUUUUUCCACCUUGCAUUGUGAUUUAAGAGUCACACUAUGAUUUGAUAUGCUACCACUUGGUAGAAAUAAUUCUUAUCCAAUGAUUUGGAUUAAUUAUCCACUAAUCACUUGAUUAACUUGUUAAUCUUUCAUUAAUAGAUAAUUAUCCAAUUAUCCACAUAUUUAGGAAUUAUCUCAAAUAACUUAAAAUACUACUCACUUUUAACACACUUUAUAUACCUUACUAUCAUGGACAUGUACUACCUUUUAUAGAACUAGUCCAUAAAUACCGGGUAUUAUAGCUCAGACCGUAUUUUAUCCCAAAAUGUCAAACUUUGACGAAAUUUAUUUUUUUCGAUUAGCUUGCCCUCUCACCUUUAUGAAUUUACUCAUCACUUGUUUGAAAUAGCAUAAUGCUUAUAAUCUCAAAAUAAUCUCAUUCUUGAACUUACGUUGAUUAACUUACGUCGAAACUUUAACGUACGAAAAUGCGGGAUGUAACAUCUCAUUUUACAAGCUUCCAUCAAUUUACUUAUGGAGUACUUUCAAGUACAAAAACAUGGGGUGUAACAGUAUAUGUUAAUGAUUUCGCCCAUAGAGGCUGAGAUGAUAUGAUGGGAUGCCCUCAGAGGCUUGAUGAUAUUAUGUACGCAUAUACCUAUGCAUGAUAUGACAUUUAUAUGCAUAUGCAAGGAAUUAUAAAUGUUCCAUGAGUCACAGAGCUAUUCAGACUUACUAGUUGAGUCCUUUACUCCAUGUUUUUUUCAUGUCUUUUAUAUACUGCUUUUCAUGCCUUACAUACUCGGUACUUUAUUUGUACUAAUGUCCCUUUUGCCUGGGGACACUGUGUUUCCUGCCCAUAGGUCCCGAUCGAUAGGUUGACAGUUCUCCUAGUAGGCUACCAACUCAGUUUAAGGUGUUUGUGCACUCCACUUGCUCCAGAGUUGCCUAUUUAGUAAGUAUGCUUUGGACAUGUAUUGAUUGGUAUGUCGGGUCCUUAUCCAGGCCUUAUGAUAUUUAUGUACUCUUAGAGGCUUAUAGACGGAUUCAUGUAUAUGAAUACUUUUAUGUCCUUGUCGGCCUAUGUUGUAAGUGUACAAAUGAUCAUGUCGACUGUAUAGGAACGUAUAUCACAUGUAUAAGUUUCUAUAUCAUGUCGGGUCGUCUUAUUUCAAGUAUUCUCUUAUAUUUAAUUCUGGUUAUCUCAUGACGUCCUUUUCGAUUCAUUUACCUAUGAUAGUAUGAUAAUAGUGAUAUGUUAUAUUGGUACUUGGUUGAAUUAGGCAUCGGGUGACUGUUGCGACCCUUCGGUUUGGGGCGUGAUAGAUGGGUGAGCCUAGAGCAACUGUUUGACAGGUUCAGAUAUUGUGAAAGCUACGAGUGGUAUUCAGGUUAAUUUCAGUGUGAUCAAGCAAUGAGGGAGAGUCUUAGGCCCAUCACUUUCUUACUAGCACUAUUGGGAUUGGUUGUCUUCCUGCAGAGAAGGGGUCGGAUCAACAUCAACUUGUUACCCGUGCUUCUGGCGACCUUCCAUGGUAGCCUUCAAGAUACUCUGGCAUCGAUGGUGUUAGCUGAGAUUCUAAGGGCUUUGUCUGCAUGUGCAUGGGGUAUAAUUUCUUUAAGGGUUGUAACUUGCUACUUCAAAUUUGGACCACAUAACAUUUCUUCCAACGAGAGGCCUACAUUGACAACUUUGUGGGUGUCAGCAAGAUGAUCCGCAACUACAAUGAGAGGAUUUGACAUUGGGUCUCCCCACGUGGAAAAGAAAAGUGGAGAGAAAUGCUAACUAAUCUAAGUGGAGAAUGGGUCAAUUGGAAGUAACCAUGGUUAUGCAGGAGAGAAAUCCUAAGGACUCCUCAUAAAUACUUCAUUAAGUUGAUAUGACUUGAGGGCAUCCAACCAUAAUCACCCUUACGGGUUCUCGCAUAGUUCGAGAUGAUUCAGGAUGUGCCCCUAUGGACGAGGACAGCGCUAUAUAAGGAUGAGUACCAUGGACAGAUCCCAAUACCAAGGAUAAGAAGGCUCUAAGAAGAGUGGAACGAUCUGGUCACAAUGUCGAUGGGUCAAAACUCGUGGUGCACUCCGGAGUAUUAUGUCAGGAUCAAUGAGAAAGAUGAGCUAGCCCAACCAAACAUAGAGUGUAUAUCCUGGCUGGAGGAUGCAAUGGUUGUUUUGCAAAUCCACUAUGAGAUUUUGCCACAUUACCUUGUGACUACCUCGAUGCACUAUCAAGUGGUCCCAGGAUCCAUCGAUCACAUGCUACCACCUGCUGAAGAUGAUGACUGGGUAGUGGAGUGCAUCCAGAUAGAAUUUGAGAUAGAGCCAGAGCAAGAUCCAGUGGAAGGGUCUGAGUUCAACAGUAAUGAAGAAGAGUUUGAAGAAGAUCCAGAGGAAGAUCUAGAAGAAGAAGAGGAGAUGGUGAAUGAUUACUAGAAGUUGGUUGAUCUCCCCUUCUUUCCCACUUUGUAUCUUUAUCUCUAACUUUCUUAUUUUCCCAAAGGGUAAGUUGUUUAAGUCUAUGUAGUUCUAGGAAUAUCAAAAAUAGUGAUGUAACCCUUGUUCCCACUUAUCUCAAUCCAAACAUUAUCAAUGAAAACAAAACUUGCUUCAGAUCUGAAUGUGUCAAGUCUAACUGUUUGUCAAACAUUCGCAAUUUAGGCCCAUCUCCAUCAAUGAGAGGUCCCACGAAUUCUAUGAAAACGUAUUAGCUUGAAUACGUGAAUUAACUGCUCUAUGUGAUGUCCUAUUUGUAUAAAUGAAGAAACUGACUUAUACUUCUUUUUUCUCUCUUUUCAUUUCUUGCUUUAUAAUUAAUCCCCAAAAGAAAGUUGUUUUGUGUCGAGCCAAAACUGGCGGAGCCACCGUACUAUCUAAGAUUAAAGGGGAAGAUAUCUGCUACAGAAAACCCGACCAAAUAUGCUCUGGUUAUAGAUGAUAGCCUGGGGCGAUCGGGAGAGAAGGACGAUAGAAAGAGUGAUGACUACGUGGCCAUGAUGGCCCAGGAAAUAGUGUCUUUAAGGGAGGAAGUACAACAUAUUAGGGAACUAGCACAUCUGUCUGUGACAACGCUCCCUCAACCACCUCUCUUUCCUUCUUUGGAGUCAAUCUCCAAUCAAUUUCCUUCAACAUUACUCCAGACCAACAACACACCAACUCAUACCUCUAGUAACCCCCGGAAACCUACCAAAUCCCCCUAUCCACACUUGCUACGUACCACAGUACGUUCAAAUACCAUAAAACCUGUAUAUUACCACUAACGCACUCAUACCGCUCCUUGUGAUAGAAUCAUCUUUACCACUCACCCAAAUUAGCCCAUACUCAUGGCAUAUACCGCCGCCCAUGAGCGAUAUGUUCUUCCUGUAUAUGUCAUUUCUGAACCUACCUUUACAGCACCAGUCAUGGUCAUGGUGCCUUAUGAGAUAAAAAUGGAAGCUAGACGUAAGGAACAUGAGUCAGUGUCUGAGCAGCUACAAAUCUUGAGAAAACAAAUGAAGAACCUCCAAGUCGCUCGAGGAAGUGAAUGUUUGGACUAUGAGGAUCUGUGUAUCCAUCUAGAUGUGGAUAUGCCAGUAGAGUAUAAACCUUCAAAGUUUGAUAUCUUCGAUGGGACGGGUGAUCCCCACGCACAUUUGAGGGCAUAUUAUGACAAGUUACUUGGAGUGGGAAGGUAUGAGAAGCUAAGAAUGAAGUUGUUCAUAAGGAGCCUAACGGGAGAAACACUGACCUGGUAUACUCAACAAGAUCUGCAAAACUGGAGAACCUAGCAAGAUAUGGCAGAAGAUUUUAUAAAUCGCUUUCGAUUCAGCACACAGAUCAUUCCCGAUAGAUUCUCACUGAUAAACCUGCAUAAAAAUCUAUCCGAGUCAUUCCAAGAAUACGCACGUCGGUGGAGGUCAGAAGUGGCCAAAGCACAACCUUCGCUGGACAAUAGUGAAUUAACCAAGUAUUUCAUCAAGGCCUAGGAAGGGAUAUACUUUGCAAAAAUAAUGGGAAUGAUGGGACAAAAUUUCCCGAACUGGUCAAGACGGGAAAUUUCUUAGAAGAAAGAAUAAAAUCUAGCAAAGUACAAUCAAUGGCUGCAGUGCAAGAGGACGUUAAGUAAAUCCAAUCAUGGUCAAUCGUUAGCGGAAAUAAGAAAAAAGAAGAAGUCUCAAUAGUCGUCCCUUACUAUCAACCAACCCACAUCAUGGAAACACUUCCUAUUCCCUAAACAACCAUUCACCACCACCCGUUUACACUCCAGCCUAUAACACCCAUCCAUAUUACCACCCCAACCUCAAUAUAACCCUCCUAGAGCCCACAAUAACCCGAAUCCACAAUGACUAUACACUCAUUUCCAAACCACUACCCACCAAAACCGACCCACUUAUGCACCACUUCCUCGUCCUAAUUUUGAAUAGAGAGGUCCCAAAAAUUAUACCCCAAUAGCCUCUAGCCCAAUUAUUUGAAAGAUUGAGGAGAGUAGGAUUGGUACAUCUAGUAGAAGGAAGGGUUCCUGAGUAUCCCUAUAAGUAUUUUGAUGCAACUAAAAGGUACGUGUACUAUUCAAACAUGCCUGGGCAUGAUACAUAAGAUUGUUUUAAGCUAAAAAAUGAAAUUGAAAACUGAUCAAGAGUGGAGCAUUUAGUUCACUCUGGCUAUGCCCAAUAUAAAUCAUAAUCCGCUGCCAAAUCACCGAAAUAAAUGGGUCAACAUGAUUACUUUGGAUGAAGAAUAUGAUUUAAAAGGAAUGAUAUUCACAAUAGAAAAUGCGGAGGAUGUAAGGAUCCAACCUCAAAGGACUCUAAUGAUAACAAUGCAAGUGAGACCUACGGUGACGGUUUAGACUUAUCAAUGACAACUUACCAUUGCUACAGGGGAUGAAGAGAGUCGGGAAUACAAAAAUGUCCCAUGGACAUACCGGCAAAAGGGGAAGGCCAAGAUGAUAGACUCUGUGGCAGCCCAUGGUAUGACUAGGUUAGGGAGAUAUUACGCGCCUGAAGAUGCAAAUCAACGGAAUUUGGGAAGAGAGCAACUUCAAAGGAGGAACAUAACAAAUUCAGAAGUUGCAGAAUUAUGGAAGAGUAUGUCGACCAAAAAGUACUCCGUGGAGAUGUUGCCGAAGAAAAAUCUUGCGUAAAUAUCAAUCAUGGACUUGCUAAUAAGCUCCGACGGUUAUAAGGAUGCCCUGAUGAAAGUACUAAGUGGGGUAGUGUUCCAAGAAACGCCAUCAAUGAGGUGCUGGCCACAACAAUUGGGAAAAUGUCGAAGCAAAUAUGAUCACUUUCAGAAAAAACAAACUUCCUAUAGAAGGCAUAAGUCACAACAAAGCCCUUCAUAUCAUUGUCAAAUGUGGGGACAAUGUGGUGUCUCCAGUGCUGGUUGAUAGAGGGUCAGGAGUCAACAUUUAUCCGCUCUCUACUGUGCAGGAGUUGGGAAUCCAUUUUAGGGAAGUCAAGGAAAGCCAUGCAAGGGUAAGGUCUUUUGAUGGUUCAUAGAAGGAUGUUAUCAGAGAAAUUUAUUUGGCUUUGCAGAUAGACCCGGUUAAAUUUCCUAUAUUAUUUCAAGUAAUGGAUAUUUCUUCUUUAUACAACUUGCUGCUAGGAAGGCUCUGGAUACACAUGGUAGGGGUCAUCCCAUCCACCCUACAUUACUGCAUGAAAUUUGAGUAGGGAUGUCAGGAUAUCGUGGUCCAUGGCGAAUGAGACCAAUCAGCUUAUUUGGAGCACGCAGUCCCAUUCAUUGAAGGGCUAGACGGAGUUGCUUUUCAUGUAAUGGAAAUUAUGAAGACUACCAAUAUAGAAGAGACUGAACAAAAAUUGGGAAUGCAAUCGCCAUAUAGAUCCAAGAUGGUUAUGAGGGAGAUGAUGAAAUAUGGAUAUAGAUCAAGAAUCGGGUUAGGAGCCAGGUCAGAUGGGAUCAUAGAGCCAAUUGAACCUAAUGGACAGAAAGGAAGGGCCGGCAUAGGGAAUCACCCUCCUGUGGGAAAGCUCAUACAGGUAGCUCUAGGAAAAAGGCUUUUGUGCCAGAGCAUGUUUUGGGUAUGAGCUGGAGUGCAGCACCAGAAGAUGAUAUCAUCGAUGUGAUGGGAAGGCUGUUCAUGAAUAUGGUUGAAGAAUGUUGUGAAGGAACCAACAUUAAGACACCGACCAUAAGGGAUGCCGAACCAGGAGAAGAGAUGCGAAAUUGGACCGGCAAUCCAUCUUUGGUUCGCCAGGAGUCUUGGAAGUGUGGAACUAUAAAAGUUUUCUUUUGAAAAGCACACAAUCAAUUGAGGCCUUCACCCUAUCUGUACCCUUUUGUCAUUUGCCUUUUUAGAAUGCUUAGACGUUCCUCUUUUGAUGAAAUAAAAAAUAAACAUUUUCUUAAAAUAUUUCAACUUUAUUUACCGCUUCAUUUAUACUUAGUUUUUCUUUUUAAUAAUUGAAAUGAUAAAAACCUCUGUUACGCGAUUGUGACAUAUAACGAAACUGUCGAGUGAAAUAACGUAGAUUAUGAGGAGUAUGACGAGAGUAUGAUGCCAGACAAUCUCUCACAAGAGAUUGAAUAGCUGGAGAGUCACAAAAAGCCCAACCUCAAAGAAACGGAAGUGGUAAAUCUCACAAAUGAAGAAGAUGUGAAAGAAACAAGAAUCAACAUUCACCUAGAAGCCGAGCAAAGAGAAAAACUGGUUGAUCUCCUCCAAUGAUACAUUGAUGUGUUUUCCUGGUCAUAUGAUGAUAUGCAGGGAUUAAGUACUGACACUGUAUUGCAUCGACUGCCUCCCGAUCCUACCAGACUACCGCUAAAGCAAAAACCCAGAAAAUUCAAGCCCGAUUUGAGUCUGAGAAUAAAGGAAGAAGUAACCAAGCAGAUAAAGGCGAAUGUGGUAAGGUUCACCAAUUAUUCCAACUGGUUGGAAAAUAUCAUCCCAGUACCCAAGAAAGAUGGAAAGAUCAGGAUAUGUGUGGAUAACCGAGAUCUUAACAAAGUCCAAAAGAUGACUUCCCUUUACCAAAUAUCCACAUCCUCAUCGACAAUUGCAAAAAUCCUAAACUACAGUCGUUCGUGGAUUUUUUCGCUGGUUACCACCAUAUCUUGAUGCAUGAGGAAGAUGCAGAAAAGACAACCUUCACCACAUCUUGGGGAGUUUACUGCUAUAGAGUCAUGUUGUUCGGUCUCAAGAAUGCCGGUGCAUGAAAGCCAUGACCUUUUUCAUGACAUGAUUCAUAAGGAGAUCAAAGUAUAUGUGGAUGACAUCAUUAUCAAGUCUCGAAAGAGUUCAGAACACUUGGAUGAUAUGAGGAAACUUUUCGAGUGCCUGCGGAGGUACAACUUGAUAUUGAACCCGACAAAAUCUGCAUUCGGGGUCCUGCUAGGAAAUUGUUAGGCUUCAUCUUAAGCAAAAAAAGUAUAGAACUAGACCCAUCAAAAAUCAAGUUCAUUCAGCAAUUGCCACAACCCAAGAGUAAGAAAGAUGUGAUGAGUUUCCUGUGUAGAUUGAAUUACAUCAGUCGUUUCAUAGCCCAGGCCGUGGUAAUCUAUGAAAUUAUUUUCAAGUUGCUGAAAAAGGAUGCUACCAGAAAAGUGGAUAGGAGAAUGCCAGAAAGCCUUCGAUAGAACUAAAGAGUAUCUGUCAAAUCACCAAGUGCUGGUUCCCCCCGAGCCCGGGAAGCCAUUGUUACUAUAUUUGUCAAUCUUGGAUAGUGCCUUCGGAUGUGUGUUGGGAUAACAUGAUGAAACUAGGAGAAAGGAGUAGGCUAUCUACUACAUAAGUAAGAAGUUCACGCCAUGUGAGGCCAAAUACACUUUGAUAGAACACAUUUGAUAUGCUCUGACUUGGAUCACCAAGAAACUAAGGGAUUAUAUGUCCAUACACUACGCAUCUAAUAUCUCGGUUUGACCUAAUCAAGUACAUCUUUCAGAAGUCGAUGCCUAUCGAAAAGCUAGCUAAAUGGAAAAUUCUCCUCAGCAAAUUUGAUAUUGUGUACAUAACUCAGAAGGCUAUCAAAGGGCAAGCUUUGGCCAACCACCUCGCAGAGAAUAUAGUGGAUGGGGAUUACAAGCCACUCACUAUGUAUUUUAUCGACGAAGAUAUAUUAUUUGCUGAAGAAGAUAUUGCAGAGUCAUACACUAGAUGUAGAAUGUUUUUUGAUGUAGCAUCAAACAUUAAAGGAGUUGGAAUUCGGGCGGUCCUAAUUUGGGACUCCGGACAGCACUAUCGAGCAUCAGCAAAGAUAAGAUUCCCUUAUACCAAUAAUAUGGUUGAAUACGAAGCGUGCAUCCUUGGGAUCAGAAUGGUAGUCGACAUGAAAUUCAAAGAACUUUUGGUCAUACGAGAUUCCAAUCUAUUGAUACACCAAGUCCAAGGGGAGUGGUCCACCAAAAAUGUCAAGAUCCUUCCGUACAUGCAUUACGUAAAAGAGUUAUGCUAGAAGUUUAUGAAGAUUGAGUUCAAGUACGUUCCCAAAAUUCAAAACGAGUUCACUGAUGCCCUUGCAACUCUAUCAUCCAUGAUUCAGCAUGCAGACAAGAACUAUAUCAACCCUAUAAAGGUAGAGAUCAGGGAUCAACAUGCCUAUUGCUUCCAGAUAGAUGAAGAGACAGAUGGUAAAUCGUGGUACCUAGACAUCAGAAGAUUCCUUGCAACCAGAGAUUACCUAGAGAAUGCUACUAUAGUCAGAAGCAUGCCCUCAGAAGGUUGGCAAAUGACUUUUUCCUUAAAGGGGAAGUCUUGUACAUGAGGACCAUAGACUUGGGUUUAUUGAGAUGUGUAGAUGCCGCCGAGGUGACCAUGUUAUGGGAAGAAAUACAUGCAGGAACGUGAGGACCCUACAUGAACGGGUUCACAUUAGCUAAGAAGAUCUUGAGAGCUGGAUACUUUUGGAUGACCAUGGAAAGUGAUAGUAUCCUCUAUGAGCGGCAGUGGCACCGGUGCCAGAUUCAUAGGGAUUUCAUCCAGGUUUCGCCGAAUGUGAUGGGUUCACCCUGUUCGUUUGUUACUUGGGGCAUGGAUGUGACUAGAUCUAUAAAACACACUGCAUUAAAUAGGCACCACUGCAUCUUGGUAACCAUUAACUACUUCACUAAAUGGGUCGAAGCCUCUACCUACAAGGCCGUCACAAAGAAGGUAGUGACAGAUUUCAUUCAAAACAACAUCGACAGCCGAUUUGGGAUACCUAAAACAAUCAUCACUAACAUUGCCACUAACCUUAAUAGCGACCUCAUGAGGGAAAUCUUCAAGAAGUUCAUAAUCGUCCACUGUAACUCCACAGCCUACAAACCACAAAUGAAUGGGGUAGUCGAGGCAGACAAUAAGAUUAUCAAGAGGAUUCUACGAAAGAUAGUGGACAAUCACAGGCAAUUGCACGAGAAUCUAUCCUUCACCUUGCUGGGUUAUCAGACCACCAUGAGAACAUCCACUGGGGAAACUCCAUACAUGUUGGUAUAUGGGACCGAAGUUGUGAUACCCGCAGAGGUCGAGAUACCAUCUUUAAGGGUCAUCCAAGAGGCCAAGUUGGAUGAUACAGAAUGGAUACAGGUCUAACAGGAGCAACUCAUGCUCAUCGACAGGAAGAGAACAGAUGUAGUAUGCCAUGGUCCACUAUAUUAGAACAGGAUAGCCAGUGAAUUUAACAAAAGGGUUAAGCCUUUUCACACUGAGGCAGUUGGUUUUGAAGAAAUUCUUUCCCCACCAGAAGGAAGCCAAAGGAAAGUUUGUACCAAAUUGGCAAGAUCCGUAUGUGGUUCACUGAGUGUUGUGGGGUGGAGCUCUAAUCUUGGCAGAAAUAGAUGGAAGAAUCAACACGAAGCCCAUCAACUUAGACGCAAUCAAGAGAUACUAUGUUUGAAGACAAAUAGAGUUUGGUUUUUGCUGUAAUAGAACUACGUUCAACCUGACUUCCAAUGGGGGGAUACGUAGACAACCACGUAGGGUUCGAUUUCUAUCCCUCCUUUCUCUUGUAAUAGAAAAUCCAAACAUCAUUUUUUGAUUGUUGUUCUAGCACUACGCUGACUUGAUUUCCUCAGGGAGGAAUACGUAUGCAAUCCUCAUCAGAUUUAGUCGCCUUUUAUAAUUGAACUACGUUAUGGCCUGAUUCUAUUUGGAUAUGUAGGCAGUCUGAUUCAGACUCAACCAUUUCAUUCUUAAUCUCAUCAUUUCGCAUCUAUUGUAAUUAAACUACAUUCAAAACUGAUUCUGUUUUGGAUAUGUUGGUAACCUGAAAGGGUUCGGUUAUAACUUUAGAAAAACCUUCGUAAUUAAUUAGGACGCAGUUGCAACGGCAAGCAGCCGCAUUAUCAAAAGCAUCACGGAAGAUCAAUAUCAAUGGGAUAGAGCUUUCAUAAGGCAAUGCUCGCACUCAGAGAAAGUUUCAUAGCAUGUCAUAAUCCAGAACGACGACAUUUGCCUAAAACAAAAUUUUCAAAACUAUUUUAUAAAAAUAGUAAUUUGUUCUACUUACCGAACUUUGUGGCGUAGCCAUAUUAAGGGUUGAGGAAAAACUAAUACAAUGGUCAACACAAUCAAUCCCCUGCCCCCACUAAGAAUUUUUUUGAGUGUAGGGUUAACAGGAUUCAAGGAAGUGUUAGGACUACACUAGGGCAAAUGACGGAUUCGCCACUUUCCCAGGAUUAUCACCCUUUCUCCUUUAUUUAAAUUUUUCUGCUACAACUAAAGCUAAUUCUUUAAUUCUUUGCAGGCAUCUCGGAGUCCGACCACUGAUGUGGAAAAGACACACUGUAUAUAGAAAACCGCUCGCUCAACCAUCGGAGCACCUUGUACAAAAAACCACUGGACUCACCAAUUGGAGCCCUGUAUAUAGCAAAUUGCCUACUCAACAAAUCGGAGCACCUUGUAAAAAACAAACCGCCGACUUCACCAACUAGAGCAUUGUAUAUAACAAAUCGUUAGCUCAAUCAAUUGGAGCUCUCUAUAAGAAGUCAAACGUUGGUUUUGCCAAUCGAAUCCUUGUAUAUAGAAAAUUGUCCAUGGAACAAUCUGCACUGCCGCUCCAUCAAAACUGAGGCCAGAAUAGACAAUCACAAACCUCAUCACCGACGUUCUUCCAAUAGAUGGCCGCAACUUAGCUUCAUAGUCAAGAGUAUCUCUUGGGAAUGCUUUUCUUUUCCUUUGCUAUUAUCUUCAAUGUUUUGAUGUUUUUCUCACGCAGCUUCAAACAAUGAUUAUGUUUUAAGUCAAUUAUUCCCAAGCGAGGAUUACUUUAAAUUUUAGUGCAAAGCCCUCCCAACAAACGGAGAAUGAGAAGAAUGAAUAAAUCAAAACAAUUAACAAUUAAAUAAUAAAUAAUAAUUAAGGCAUUGAUAACAAGUAAGUACAUGUAUAAAUCAAAACAUGUAAUAAGAUUCAAUAUGGAAUACAUAACAACAUGAAGGUAAAUAGCCCAACUCGCAUGCUUUAACCCAAGACAGGAUAUAUAUACUCGUCACUGAUAAGUUGGUAUUUUACCAAUUUAUCUUGUCUUUAAGCCUAUACUUUUGCUAUGUUUCAGUGAUAAAAUUAUGUGUUUAAUGUCAUUUACUUCUAUUAUAUAGGUUCUCUGUGAUUUAGAAGUGACCACGAAGAAACCAAGUAAAAACGAGUCAAAAAGGCGUUGAAAAGAAGAAAAUCUGGAAAAUGGUCUCAUUUGUUGCAAUUGCGACACAAUUUUGGGAAAUGCGAAGAAAUCAGACAUGGCAAUUGUGAAGUAAGCCCAGCCAAGUUGUGUUCGCAAAUGUGAAGUCAAACCAGGCAGUCAACCUUCGCAAAUGCAAAAGUCAAUAGGAUAGUCUAUGUUCGCAAUUGCGAACUUUUGUUCGCAAAUGCGAAUAUCGUGCUUCAGUUUUGGGCAAUUAUGUCAAUUCACAUUUUUGGUCCCAAACCCUUUAAUUCACGAUUUUGCUCAUUUGUAAAAUAUCUUUGGCUUAUUUUCAGUCUCUAAGACUAGAGAGAACAAGUUUUGGAAGCUAUGGUUUACACACACACUUUGGUCUUGAAGAUUUGAAGCUUUUGGUUGAGAAUUUCUUACCCAUUUAUGUUUAAUUCUUUAUUUUCUUGCUUUGUAUUGAAUAUCUAAGUGUGUAGUAUUUAUUCCAACACUUGAAUCUUGUUUAUGGAAAUAUUCAUGUUUAAAGUGUAUUAAAUACCUUGUUGUGCUUAUGUAUUAAAUGAUUUUUUAUCUUUUAUGAAGUGAGUUAUUGUUUCUUUAAUUAUUCUUGUUCUUUAAUAUUUCCAAAGGGAUUAGCUAACCCUAGGACUCGCCCAUUAACUUCGAAAUAAUUUUGGAAAAGAUUAUUUGAGGUUGGGAAAGAUUAAUUAACAAGAACUUGAGGUUUUAACCCUCAUUUUAUAGAUUCCACCUAGGGAUAGGAUUGAACUACUUGUAGCCAUAUUCGAGUGUGCUUAAUCUCUUAAUUGUUUUAGGGAUAAUUCAAUUAGGAAGUCUUGUUAGUCUUUGGAAGAAGCUAAUAUAGAAUUAUUACCCAAGGCUAAGUAGCAUAAACUCGCUCAUAUUUGUAAAUUCGUGAAAUACAUUGGAUCAUUACUUGAGUGUAAUUCCCCGUGUAUCUAUACUUGUAGCCAUUGAUCGUUUUACUCACUUUCUUGGCUAGUUUACAUUUCCGCAUUUAGUUAUAAACAUUGUCUAAAAACAAUUCUAAGUGUUUGGCAUUGCAUAACAAGUGAUAAUUCUCUUACAUUCCUAAUCACCUACAUAUUGUUCUCUGUGGGAUUCGAAUCCGACUCAUAGUUGGGUAAAUUAUAUUCCAUGCGACCGUAUCCAUUUACUUUUUAGUAGCGGAUUUAGACGUCAUCAAAAUUGGCGCCAUUGCCGGGGAAUAAUUUGACGUAAUUUAGGUUGUUUGAGAAAUAAGCGUAAGUGCUUUGGUCCAAACUUGUAAAUAUUUGUGUAAUUAUUUUUCUUACCUUGGUCUAUUUUUCUUGUUUGUUUCUUGUUUAUUUUCUUAGUUUUCAAAAAUGGAUUCAUAUAAUGAGAAUUGGUCGGAUGGUAGUUGUUCAUCCUUUGAUGAUCCUUGUCCUUAUUGUGGAGGACCACACUCCUAGCAAAAUUGUUUAAAUUCUCCUGGGGGUGGAUUGUGCGCACAAUCUCGAACCCAUGAGUGGAGUAUUUGUGAUAAGUGUGGUCAUCAAAAUGGUCAUUGGGAUGAUUGUGAUUAUUUGUCCUUCCCUUCCCCAAACCCCCGCUAUGAUGACUCUAGUUUUUGCGAUGAAAAUAAUAGAGCUAUGGAAGUGAAAGAAGUUGACCAUGGUCAAAAUGGAGAGUUCAAGCUCGUGUUAGAAUUCCUAAUUGAAGGAAGAAACAAAGAAUAAAGUGCCUUGGAGGAGCUUUUAGAAAAUAGUCUCCAAAAUGAUUUGGCACUUGAAAGGUUGAACUUGCAAAUGGAAGAAAUGCUUGAAGCUUUAGAGGUCCAAAAAGCCUUGGAAGUUAAUGAUAGACAAGAAUCUUCCUUGGAGGUUGAAGCCAAAAAUCCUUCCUUGGCACUUGAUCAAAACCAAGAAGAACUCUCAAAUGCUCAAAAUGAGAAAAUGAUGCCCAUGUUGAAGGCCAUUCUUGAAAAUGAGGAGAAGCAAAGCUUGGAACUCGAGGACUUUAAACAAGGCUUGACUCAAAAUGAUGAGGAUAUCCGCACUUUGGAAAGUCAAUGAAAGUAUUGGUUGAGGCUCACUAUGACCACCAACUUGAGAGUGUGGAAUGAGAUCAAGAAGAGCCGAUUUCGAGGAAGAAAGUAAGCUUUAUUUUGAGGAAUCAAGAAUUGAACAUCCACCAACUAACUCCAUGAGUGUUUGUGAUGCCAAGAAAAAUAUGAAAUUAGAGUCAACCGGUGUGAAUGAAAAUUUGGUUGAGAUUGACUCUAGUCCGGGGGAAAAGAGGAUGUCAAAAUCCGGAAAGAAUUGCAAUUUAGAGGUUUGAUGUCAUAUUCUAAGCAUUUUUCAACAUUGGAAUUGUGUGGUGAUAUGGGAAUUGAACUACACGAGUCAAUGAGGGAUUGCGAGGAGGAAAGACAAAAGCCAUACAUCUUACAAUUUGAGGGAACAAGAAGGCAAAAUGACAUUCCUCACAUGAAAGCCAAGAAGCGCAAAAUGAAGAAAUUGAUGCUUAGCUUGAUCAUCUACUUACCACCCCCUACCGCUCGUGGUCACAAGGUUGAUUCCAAGUUGGGUGCCUAAUUCAUAUAAUCAAAGUGGUGAGAAAUGUGGCAAAGUGAUUUGUGUCGUGCCACAAAGUUAAAUGCGGCUCUUGGUGGGAGGCAACCCAUCAUUUUCAAAGUUUUUAGUCAUUUUUUGAAAUUUUCCUUUUUAGAAUAGCUUAUUAUAUUGUUUCUAACCAAUCUGCCAAGUUUCAUAAUUUUUGGAGUUGAUUUAAGGGCGACGGAGAGCAUGUAAUCCAGUAGCUGAAUAUUGCAGAAGCACCACCUUUCGCAUUUGCAAACUUGGUCCAUCGUAAAACCCAAGGAUAUGUCGCAUUUGCGACAACUGCAGGAUUUACUGAGCUUCACAAUUGCGAAGGUAGUGUCACAAAUGUGACAUCAGAGAGUUUAAACGACUAAAUUGAUUUCACUCUGAACAAAACUUACAAAAUCUGAGACUCUUCAAAAGACCAUCUUCCUCACUCUACUAACUCUCAAAGUCCACCAUUUUUCACUCUUAAGUGCAAGCAUCCAGGUAUGAAAGCUUAAUCGCUUCUUCUUCUUCUUCUUCUUCUUCCUCCUCCUCCUCCUCCUCCUCCUCCUCCUCCUCCUCCUCCUCCUCCUCCUCUUCUUCUUCUCUUCUUCUUCUUCUUCUCGGAGUUUUCUCUGAAAACCUAGGGUUUCAGAUGGGUAACAUUUCUCUGCCUGAAAUUGUUUAAAAAUUGUUCAAAUUGUAUGUUGAUUUCUGGGUGAGGUUGGUUGAGAGUGAGAGUCUAUUUCUUUACUAUGAAAAUGGGGAAGUCUGAGUACCCAUGGCCUUGUUAAAUUAGGAGAGGUCUUAUGUGCUUCAUAUGUGAUCGAUGAAAGGCCCAAAUGAGAUUCUUGGCCAAAUCAUUAAUAUAUUUUUAAUUUAUGGUUGUCUAUGGUGUUUAUUGCAUGAGCCUGUGUUAUAAAAUUGCUUGGGUUCUCUAAAGUUAGCCUUUGAUUGAAAUUUUUGGGGCUUGGGACUGCCGUCUGUGAAAAACUUCGCUGGGGACAAUGGGCUCGCAAUUGCGAUGGCGUCCACAUUUGCGAAAAGGUGGUCGCAAUUGCGAAACCUGGCAGCCCUGGCCAUCUUCAAUUGCGAAGAUUGUUUCGUAUUUUCAAUAACUGUGUAGUCCUACUUACUUCGCAAUUGUGAAGAUUUUUUUGCAAUUGUGAUCACUGUGCAAUCCUGUUACCUUUGCAAUUGCGAAGAAAAUGUCGCAAUUGCGACAUCAGAGAGCAGGCACCUGCAGAUCUCAAAAUCCUGAUUUUUUUUCUAAGGCUUGGUUUUGACUGUCCAAUCAUUCCUUUGGCAUAUUUGACUCAUUUUGCAAUGUUCUUAAUAGCCAUACCAUGUUUUCACUCCAAUCCUUUGUUUACAGGUACUAUAAGCUAAAAAUGAGCUCCAACUCCGAAGAAUCUGCAAAUGACAACCCCUUGGAAGCUAAGGAGAACUAUCACCAACACCGGUUCUUGUCAUUGGGAUGCCAGGAAUGGUACUAUGCUGGCCUGAUUUUGAAGAAGUUGCUCCCGGAAAGUGGUAUAUUGAUGGACAACAUCCUGGAACGUUUUCCCGAGUUCAAUCAAAGGCUUGUAAACAUGGGAUGGAACUGUUUUGCCCCUCAACCUUGCCGAGACAAUGAUCAAUGGGUGAGAGAGUUUUACACAAAUCUCCCAGCUAUCAGGUUAAGGAAGCCAAAGAUGAGAAUUCGCUGCAAAAUGGUGCAUUUUGGAGCUGAAGCUGUGAACCAAGUGUAUCACCUGCCAGACCAUGACAUGGCCCCAUUAUGUGUAAAAGAAUAUGCCUCAGGGGAGUGGUUUUUUUCCAAAUUAUGCCCAAGUGCAGAUGUUCCAUGGGCAACUGAGAAGAGAGGGAUCACAUCCAAAGAGUUCACUGCUGAAGCAAUGAUAUGGCUGGCCAUCAUAUGCAGUUGUAUCUCCCUGUGUCGAAUAUAUGGAAUGUACCGGCUACAAGAGCUUAAAUGAUAUCCUGCAUCCUUGAUGGUAUUCAGCUAAAUGUUGGUGAAAUCUUCAUCAAUGAACUGAGGGAGUAUCAGAUUCAUAAUAGUACAUCAUUGAUAUUCUUAUCGCUUAUCACUGAGUUGUGCCAACUUGCUGGGAUGGAGGAAGAACCAGGAGACAACUGGAUAGAGCCGAGAAAGCCUAUCAAAAAGAGAAAGCUGAGGUCUUCUUCUCAGAUUGAUUAGGGUAGCCAGCCAUCAUCUUCUACAGGAGGACCAUUUGUUGUGCUUACCGAGGAAAUGCGGCUAAUUCGCGACCUAGUAGCUGGACUUCCACAGGGACCUGGGGAAACAUCUGAGGGACCCUCUGCAACAUUUCAAAGAGAGAUUUUCAAAAGUACCUUGAUAAUUGGAAGAAGCAGGGGGAUCACCUUAAGACACUGGAGAAGGCAUACACUGAUCUGACCAUGGCGCAUGGUAAGUUCAUCAGUUCUUAUGACAAUCUAGCAAAGGCACACACCAAGAGAAAGAAAAGGGAGAAGAAAAGAGAUAACUUCUUCACCCGCAUGUGGAAGGGUGUGAAAGGGCUGUGGAAAGUCCUAAAGACUCAAGACUCAAUGCCAUCGACCAAGCCAGAAGAUGAUGAUGAUGCCCCAAUUGAUUGGUCCAAAGAAGAAGGAGAGGAGGAUGCCUCUGAUUCCGACAGCGAGGAUAGCACUUGAUGCAGUAUUCAGGGAGCACUUUCCACCAUUUUACUCUAUUAUGAUUAGUUGCAUUGGGGACAUUGCAACAUCUUUAGUUGGGGGUGGCUUCUUUUAUAACUGUUGAUCUUGUAUAAUUAUGGAUAACUGUGGAUAUGGUAGAUUGGUACUUUGGUUGUUUUCAUGUGAUAUUAUUGUGUUUCAUGUGAUGUGUUAUAUUAGUAUGUUUACUAGCUUAUUGAACUUUUGUUUUUAUAAAUUGUAUGUUUUAGUUACUUGAUGUUUAUUAGCUUCUUAAUUUUUUGUAUAUAUAAUAUGUUUAGGUGGAGAUAUCCUUGGUUUCUUUGUACCACGGUUCUUUUUCCGAGGAUGCAAUUUUCUUCUGGAACCGGGUAAUUGUUGGUAAAUUUUCUUGACUUUUCCCGAUGAUGUAUAGCUAGGCGACUUUCUUAAUGGAAUUAGUCUUGUAGUUUAGAUAUAGUUUUUUGUUAAUUUAGGAAGAAUAAGUGGUUUGAGUAGGGUAUGAGCCCAUUAGCCAAGUUGUGGCUUGCCUGGUACCAACACGAUUUAAACCUCGGCAUAUGAAUUUUUUAUCUUUGAAAAACAAAUGAUUGAAGUAAAGAUCACUGUCAUGAUGUUUAGACUCAAUUUUUGGCUCUUUGAUUCACUAAAUAGCUUCUUAGGCUAUACGUAACUUCCUUGAGAUUCAUUGGUUGGAUUUUGGAUUUGUAUUCCACUUGAUUUUUCAUGUGCCAUGUGUGGUGAGACUUAUUGUGAAGUUCUUUUGCAUUAUUUGUAGUCUAUAACUUGCCCGGUUGGUCUUUCAAUGCUAAUGUUAAUUAUGUUUGGUUGGAGGGAUGACCUUAGGCAUUCUUUGUGAUCUUUGAAAAAGCAUCUUUAUCCUUUCAAGCCUACUAUUGCAUAAAUAUAAUCACUAGUUUUCCCAUUUUAGCCUUUAACCUUUUCUUUGACCACCUCAUUAUAAACCUUUACUCUUUUGUGAAAUAAUUCCCUCUUUUGCACUCGUCCCUCCUUGAAUAUUGAGAAUGAAGCUAAAAGGCUAAGUUUGGGGGUUGGUGUUGGUGUCAAGUUGGAAAUUGGUAAGGUUCCACUUUGAGUGUAGAAGCAUAUACCUCAAAGUGUUCUUACGAAAUUACUCAAGCUCCAAAAUAAAAUAGCUAUACAAAAUAAAUUGUGUUAACAUAUAGAUAUAUAGAUAUGGAGUCUUGAGAAAAUUAUAGAGUUACUUUAAGGUGGUUCUAUGUUGAUAACUAGAUGCUAAUAAGGGCUAUGUGGUUUAAAAAGAAGAAAAGUACAAAAAGAAAGACAAAUGUGAGUACUGUUCAAGGAGGGUGUAGUCACUUGUAUCUUAAAUGCUCCAAUCCUUCACUAAACCUACAUUACAAACUCAAAAAGUCCUUAUGGGACCUCCAACCGAAUGUUCUUGAAUAGGCAGCGAAUUAAAAUAAGGGCAAGCCUAUGGCACUACUUUUGUGCAUCUGAAUAUCUUUGUGAGAGUGAGAGCUUAUUCUUUCCACUUGAUAUCCCAUUUAUGUUUUGAAUUGCAAAUUAUGAGUGUGGGAUUCUCUCUUAAGUUUGAGGGCACAUGAGAUUUGAGUUGUGAAUUAAAUCUCAUUUCCAAUUGGGAUGAAUGAACGAGGGAAGAUAAUUUUGAUAGAUAGGCAAAUUUUGAUGCUUUAGUAUCAUGACUUGAUCUGCUACUUUGAUUUGAAUAGUGUUUGAGCACUUGAAAUGUAAUGAAGUUCAUGAGAAGUUUCCGGUAAUUCAUAUGCUUUGGAUUAAUUGUCGGUACCAAUCGAAAUCAUGUGUUUGUGCUUACAGUAGCACUUUUUGGCUUGGAUGAUAAGGAUGCACUAUUGAGUUAAAUACUUGGGAGGAGAUUUUGUCGCUUUCAUUGCUUGAGGAUAAGCAAUAGUUUAAGUUUGGGGGUUUGAUAAGUUAGUAUUUUACCAACUUAUCUUAUCUUUAAGCCUAUAUUUUUGCUAUUUUUGAGUGAUAAAAUUAUGUGUUUAAUGUCAUUUACUUCUAUUUUAUUGGUUCUCUGUGAUUUAUAAGUGACCAUGAAGAAACCAAGUGAAAACGAGUCAAAAAGAUGUUGAAAAGAAGAAAAUCUAGAAAAUAGUCUCAGGUGUCGCAAUUGCGACACAAUUGUGGGAAAUGCAAAGAAAGCAAACAUGGCAAUUGCAAGAAAUACAUCGCAAUUACGAAGUAAGGCCAGUCAAGCUGUGUUCGCAAAUGCGAAGUCAAACCAGGCAGUCAACCUUCGCAAAUGCGAAAUCUUAGUCGCAAAUGCGAAAGUCAACAGGAUAGUCUAUGUUCACAAAUGCGAAUAUCGCGCUUCAGUUCUGGGCAAUUAUGUCAAUUAACAUUUUUUGACCCCAAACCCUUUAAUACAUGAUUUUGCUCAUUUGUAAAAUAUCUUUGGCUUAUUUUCAGUCUCUAAGACUAGAGAGAACAAGUUUUGGGAGCUAAGGUUUGCACACACACUUUGGCCUUGAAGAUUUGAAGCUUUUGGUUGAGAAUUUCGUACCUAUUUUUGUUUAAUUCUUCAUUUCCUUGUUUUGUGUUAAAUAUCUAAGUGUGUAGUAUUUAUUCCAACUCUUGAAUCUUAUUUGUGGAAAUAUUAUGUUUAAAGUAUGGAUUAAAUAUCUUGUUGUGCUUAUGUAUUGAAUAAUUUUUUAUCUUUUAUGAAGUGAGUUAUUGUUUCUUUAAUUAUUCUUGUUCUUUAAUAUUUCCAAAGGGAUUAGCUAACCCUAGGCCUCGUCCAUUAACUUCGAAUUUAUUUUGGGGAAGAUUAUUUGGGGUUGGGAAAGAUUAAUUAACAAGAACUUGAGGCGUUAACUCUCAUUUUAUAGAUUCUACCUAGGGAUAGGAUUGAACUACUUGUAGCCAUAUUCGGGUAUGCUUAAUCUCUUAGUUGUUUUAGGGAUAAUUCAAUUAGGAAGUCUUGUUAGUCUUUGGAAAAAGCUAAUAUAGAAUUAUUACCCGAGGCUAAAUAUCAUAAACUCGCUCAUAUUUGUAAAAUCGUGAAAUGCAUUGGAUCGUUACUCGAGUGUAAUCCCCCGUGUAUCUAUACUUGUAGCCAUUGAUAAUUUUACUCGCUUUCUAGGUUAGUUUACAUUUUCGCAUUUAGUUAUAAACAUUUUCUAAAAACAAUUCUAAGUGUUUGGCAUUGCAUAACAAGUGAUCAUUCUCUUACAUUCCUAAUCGCCUACAUAUUGUUCUCUAUGGGAUUCGACCCCGACUCAUAGUUGGGUAAAUUAUAUUGCAUGCGACCAUGUCCAUUUACUUUUUAGUAGUGGAUUUGGACGUCAUCAGUCACGUCACAUAUACGUCGUUCCCAUACGUAAAUCAUGUAACAAAUAGACCAACAAGUCCUAGUUCCCUCAAGUCAUUGUUAAAUAAGAUACUUACCUCUUUGCGCGACCAACUCAACAAUCAACCACGACUUUUCCUUUCGAGCAAGCCUCCAAACCAACCAAAUUGUGAUAAUCCGGUCAGUCGUCUUAAGAAUUAAUGCCCUGAUCCCCUAUUAACUGCUUUCCCCGUAUUUAUUUCUGCUAUUUUGAUUUGCCGGGAUGUUCGGUUUUGAGUUUCGGAGAUUCUGGGGCACUUAGUCCCUAAAUGAGAGCAUAAGUUUGGGAAAUUUGACCGUAGUCGAAACGGUAUGAAGAUAGCCUCGGAAUGGAAUUCCAAUGAUUCUGUUAGCUCCGUUGGAUGAUUUUGGGUUUAGGAGCAAGAUCGGAUUGUGUUUUAUAGGUCCGUAGCUAAUUUAGGCGUGAAAUGUCGAAAGUAGAAUUUUUGAAGUUUCUAGUUCGAUAGUGAGAUUUUGAUCCGAGGGUCAGAAUGAAAUUCCGAAAGUUGGAGUAGCUCCGUAGUGUUGAAUGUGAUGUGUGUGCAAAAUUUCAGGUCAUUCAGACAAGGUUUGGUAGACUUUUUUAUCGAUAGCGUAAUUUAUGAGUUUUGAAGUUCUUAGGCUUGAAUCCGAUGUUAAAUUGGUGUUUUGAUGUCGUUUUGAGUGUUCCGAAGGUUGGAACAACUUUGAAUGAUGUUUUAGAAUUGGUUGGCUUGUUUGAUUUAGGUCCCGGAGGCCUCGGGUGAGUUUCGGGUGCUUGGCGCAAGUUGAAUUUGGACUUAAGAAGAUUUUGCAUUGCUGAACCUGUCAUAACCGCACCUACGUGUAUGGGACCGCAAGUGCGGCGCCGCAGAAGCAGAAAGUUGGUCUUGCUCCAGGAGCCGCAGGUGCGGAAAGUCUAUCGCAGAAGUGGAAAGUUGAUUUAAUGAGUAGUCGCAGAUGCAACCUUGGCUGCGCAGAAGCGGGACCGCAAGUGCUGUCCUAGGGCCGCAGAUGCAGUUUAACUGGACAGAACAUGUAAAUAUUUGCCUUCGCGAAUUUGAGUUAUUUUCACCUCUUUUCAAACGGGAAGAAACCUUGGGGAGCAUUUUCAAGGGAGAUUUGUAGAGGACUUCAUUGGUGUAAGGUCUUUGGUCCCUAAACUUGUUAUUGGGGUAAAUUUUAUCAUUAUAAACAUGAAAAAUUAAGGAAAAUCAUUGGUAAUUUGGGGGUUAGGGCUUGACUAAUUAAAGGUCUUUGAGUGAUGAUUUGAGGGAUCAUUUGAGGUUCGAUUUUGGUACUUUUGGUAUGACUAAACUCGUGAGAGUGUGUGGAUUCUAAAAAUAUAAAUUUCAUCCGAUUCCGAGAAGUGGGUCCGAGGGGCGUUUUGGUCAUUUUACCUAAUUUCGCGCAUUAGCUAAGAAUUUAAUUGUAGAAUCAGUUACUUGAAGUGUUAUUUACNNNNNNNNNNNNNNNNNNNNNNNNNNNNNNNNNNNNNNNNNNNNNNNNNNNNNNNNNNNNNNNNNNNNNNNNNNNNNNNNNNNNNNNNNNNNNNNNNNNNNNNNNNNNNNNNNNNNNNNNNNNNNNNNNNNNNNNNNNNNNNNNNNNNNNNNNNNNNNNNNNNNNNNNNNNNNNNNNNNNNNNNNNNNNNNNNNNNNNNNNNNNNNNNNNNNNNNNNNNNNNNNNNNNNNNNNNNNNNNNNNNNNNNNNNNNNNNNNNNNNNNNNNNNNNNNNNNNNNNNNNNNNNNNNNNNNNNNNNNNNNNNNNNNNNNNNNNNNNNNNNNNNNNNNNNNNNNNNNNNNNNNNNNNNNNNNNNNNNNNNNNNNNNNNNNNNNNNNNNNNNNNNNNNNNNNNNNNNNNNNNNNNNNNNNNNNNNNNNNNNNNNNNNNNNNNNNNNNNNNNNNNNNNNNNNNNNNNNNNNNNNNNNNNNNNNNNNNNNNNNNNNNNNNNNNNNNNNNNNNNNNNNNNNNNNNNNNNNNNNNNNNNNNNNNNNNNNNNNNNNNNNNNNNNNNNNNNNNNNNNNNNNNNNNNNNNNNNNNNNNNNNNNNNNNNNNNNNNNNNNNNNNNNNNNNNNNNNNNNNNNNNNNNNNNNNNNNNNNNNNNNNNNNNNNNNNNNNNNNNNNNNNNNNNNNNNNNNNNNNNNNNNNNNNNNNNNNNNNNNNNNNNNNNNNNNNNNNNNNNNNNNNNNNNNNNNNNNNNNNNNNNNNNNNNNNNNNNNNNNNNNNNNNNNNNNNNNNNNNNNNNNNNNNNNNNNNNNNNNNNNNNNNNNNNNNNNNNNNNNNNNNNNNNNNNNNNNNNNNNNNNNNNNNNNNNNNNNNNNNNNNNNNNNNNNNNNNNNNNNNNNNNNGGGUUGAUUUGAGCUGGUCCGAGGUAAGUGACUUGCCUAACCUUGUGCGGGAGACCUUUCCCCUUAGGAUUUGGUAUAUUUGAUAAUUGAAAUGCCUUGUACGUGAGGUGACGAGUGUGUACUUGAGCUAAUUGUUGAAAAUCCGAUUUCCUUUAAGUAAUUUCAAUUGUGUUCCUUUUUCCUGUUUUAUACUACUUGCAAUUUAAGCCUGCUGUCAGCUUAGAAAAAGCAUAUUAAUUGACUUGAUUGUUUAUCUACUUAAAUUGCCUUAAUUGUAUUAUGUGAAGCAUGUUAGGUUAGAAUUACCUGUUUACUUGGUACGAAAUUGAGCUUAAUUGAGUAUUCUUUGUGUUGCUGUAGUGUGUUAUUACUUUGAGACUACGGGACAGCAUCCCGGGAGAUCCCCUGUACGUAUUUAUGAUUUGAGCUGAGGUGCAGGAUACCGAGAGAUCCCUGGCACGUAUAUUGAGGAUACCAAGAGAUCAUCGGGAUACUAUGAGAUCCCUAGUAUGUAUUGAGGAUACCAAGAGAUCCUUGGGAUACCAAGAUAUCUCUAGCAUAUAUUGAGGAUACCAAGAGAUCCCUGGCAUAUAUUGAGGGUACUAAGAGAUCCUCGGGAUACUGAGAGAUCCCCUAUUAUUAUCCUUGUGAAGAGUGGUAUUUUCUUGUAAUUGUUUUUAUCUUUAUUCCAGUUAUUUAUUCUUUAUUAUCGUGCAUUAAAUUCUCACUGUCAGCUUUCAACUGUACUACUUAUCUUAUUCUGUCAUCCCUUAUAUUUUAUUUAAUCUCAGUAGGGCCCUGACCUUCCUUGUCACUACCCAACCGAGGUUAGGCUUGGCACUUACUAAGUACCGUUGUGGUGUACUCAUGCCCUUUCUCUGUAUGUUUUUCAUGUGCAGAUCCAGGUAUCUCCACGCAGACUUUCCAUGCUUGAGACGAGGCGUUCAUAGAGACUCCGAGGUAUAUCUGCCGCGUCCGCAGACCGAAGAGUCCAUUUUCUACUCUCCCUUUUAUAUUAGCCCUUCCGUACUUUGUAUCCUUGUUAAAUAUUCUGGAGUUAGACGUUGUAGAAUUUCAAAGGCUUGUCAUCAUGAGAUUCCUAUCACACCUCCUUUUUACCACCCGAGGGAAUACAAAGGAGUUUUUCCAAUUAAAGUAACAAUAUUCGAUAUGGGAUUAUUUAAUUUAUUUUAGAGUUUCCACUUGGAAUAUUUAUGGUGUCCCAAGUCAUCAGUUUAUUUUAAAAUCCCAAAUCGAGGAAAUUUUUGACUUUAAUUAAGGGUCUGCGAACCAGAAAUUCUAGAUAAGGAAUUCUGUUAACCCGGAAGAAGGUGUUAGGCAUUCCCGGGUUCCGUGGUUCUAGCACGGUCGCUUAAACUAUUAAUAAUUGGCCUAUUAUAUGAUUUACGAUACAUUUUAAACCUAUUGCGUAUUUUUAACUUAUUAACUGUUUUAAUUUUAAACCGCUUUGAGGAAGAUUUAAUGUUAUUUAAAACAUGUCUUAAACCACGCUACAUGAAAUGCACCCGCGGUUCGCGACACAUUCUAUUUAACAUUGUUGAGAAUUUGAAAUUGGGUCACAUGAAAUGUACACCCGUAUUUAGUAAUUAAUAUCAUAACUACGUCACGGGAACCGUACCCAUAGCUAUGAUUGAAUUAUUUAAAGAACGCGCCUAAAGCAACUGUGAAGGUUUAAAUUAACAUUUUUUAGGGCCAUGUAGAGUUUAAUUGAUGGCGCACCUCAAUUUUUACAAAGUUUGAAUUAAUUUCAUGAGGGCCAUGGGUUAUUUAAUGGAAAAUGGCACACCUCAAAUUUUCUAUAAGAGCUAAGUAGUUUUAUGAGGGCCACGCUUAGGGGUUUUGUUUGGCAUGGCACGCUUCAAAUAAUUUAAAAAAAAAUUAUAUCCAACUAAAGCAAACUAAAUAGGUUCAAGUUUAAGACCAAUUUUAUGUUCAAUGUAAAGUUAUUAACUAUACGCAUGCUUAGGGUAACACGCUAGGCCAAUAAUUGCUUAAAAAUUAAUUCUGAUGUAUUAGGCUUAGCGUUUAAACCAAGUGCAGAGAAAAGGCUCAAAGGCCUCGACGAGCCUGCUUUUGAUGGUGGCUCCCUUGAGUUCUAUUGAACCCAGGCAUAAUGAAGAGGAUGUGAAUUAGUUUAGGCCCUUUAACUCAUAAUGAAUAGCUGGGCUUUGUGGAGGCUUUGAAUUUCUAACCCAAAAAACUUGUUAGGCUGUGAGACAGACAGGUGAAUGUUGGCCCACCCAAAUCGAGUUUCAAUAAGCCCACUCCACGAAUCAAGAGCCUCAUUUUUCUUUGGGUUAAUAUACUAAUUACCAACGAUUUUUAACUCUAAGAAACCAGUAAAUUGGAAAGGACUCCAAAAUUAACUUCUACUGAAUUUUUCAACCCAGACAUGUGUUCAGUAAUUAAAGAAAUGCUAAUAUAAAAUUCAAAGUCACGAAUACAUACAACUGAAUAAAAGAUGAAUACUAGUAUAAUAAGAUUAUGAAACAUAUUGAGUCAUUAAAUCAACCCAAAGCCCAAUAUAAUCGAGCUCUUACUAGAUUCUAACUAUGUCCAGAUAGUUCUAACCAAUGUCAUGGAAUACAAAGCUAAGAGUUUACAUUAUAAUGAAAAUGAUAGCUACUGAAAACAAAGCAAAUGACAACCUUGGCACUCUAUAGGAUCACUAAUGGGGCCCGUAGCCAUUCUUUGGUAAAAUGUUGGAUUCUACAUGAUGAACCUUUACUUUAUGAUAUUAAAAAAAAGCUCCAUUUGAACACAAGUGAACCAGACCUUAAACCUGCAGUUGAUCAGACCUCCCAAACCUCCAUUUUUAGGUUAAGCAUAUCAUAAGAUAAGGUUUUACUACCAAUUUCUUUAAGAUCAACCUUACACGACUAAAUGGACCAUAAAAAGAUGAGAUGUCGACUACCAACAUGCUUCAAAAAGAUGAAGCACUAUUAACACAUUUAACGCUGGAAUCAUCUCAUUUUUUUAAAAAGAAAAUUCAACUAAUAAUCGAGUGGAGACAGAGCUGACAAGAACAACUGAUGCUAACAAAAGGCAUAGGCAACACAUGGAGCCAAAUAAAUACAUCAAGAACUCAAGCAAUAGGCAUGGUCAUUGAAUCAACCAACUAAGAACAUCAUUUUUAUAUUUUUCAAAGAGAAGUAUAGGAUAUUUUUGGCAUACCUAAAGUAGCAAGCAGCAAUAAAGCACCAAAAACAGAAAAUGAAGCCCUAAAUUGAUGCUAGUUAAACCAGAACCUCACAGCAAGUGAUGGAAGAUGAGCAAGCAACAACAACCAAAAGAAGUAAACCCCAGGGAAACAAGAAAUCUUCAUAUUAGAUCCAUUCUUGACUUGUGAAACCAGGAAAAUCCUCAAAAAAAAAUUAAAAAAAAAGUUUUCUUUUGCAAAAAUCAGAGAAAAGAAAUCAGCUCCUAAGAAUGCAGCACCUAAACUUUUGAAAUGUAUUUUAGGGUUCUUCAAUCUCUGCCCUAUGUGUGAGUGAAUGGCCUUCUUUUAUAGUGUAUAUCCAAAAAGGCAUCUGAAGAAUAUCCUACCCCUAGAUUCCCUAAAUAGUACAAUAUAUUUUUAGAGGAUAAAAUUGUCCAGCUGUCCAUUUUUAGCAUCUUUUAAAACUAAUUUGGACAGCUGGUACACUUCUAGAACUUUCUUCCUUUAGAUAUAUUUUUGAAAACUUAUCCUAAGUCCUUUUAAUUCAAUUAGGCCCCUACUAGUUUCCGGUGAUUUACAAAUCAAACAAACAAAGACAGGGCAAGCAAUAGAAUUCAAAUCAAAAAAUGAUGAACAGAACGGAACAAAGCAAUUUAACCUAGGGUAUCAAACUUUGAAAACCUAGAUUAGUUCCAAACCCAAAAUAAACCAAUCAUGGAGCAAAUUCAUAGCAGAAUAGGGACCUAUUACUAUCAGUUAUUCUUAUAAAAAGAAAGGAAAUCGUACCAAGACUAAUCAGUGAACAUGCUUGGACAAAUAAACAUGAACAGACCAAACAAACAAUUAACAACAAAAGAAAAACACAUGGUGAAAUUCAAACCUAAAGCAUGCCAGCUAAGACAAAAGAAAAAGAUGAAAGGAGAAAGAUAGAACGGAAAUAACCAGAAAGCUUGGGACAACCACAAAUUCGAACAACUUGAUGGGGUAAAACUGAACUUAAACUAACAUCAAUAGAUUGCUCUCAUCAAAAGCAAUCGACUGAUGUAAGUCAUGGGUCCAAAAGACUGUUCUUCGCGUGCCCAAAUCAGAGAACAUGAACGAAGUUAGGGUUUCAUAAAUUGGUUCCAAAAUUAACGAGACCAAGGCAGGGGUUUUUUGCAAUUGACGGGAGUUUAGGGCUUAGAGGGGUGUGAGGAAGGUGGGGUAUGAUUUUGGGGUGAUUUGGUCGAUUUAGGGUUUGGGGUUAGAUUUUCAGAUUUGAGGAUUUUGGCAGGGAUUCAAAAGAUAAGGAUUGGAGAUUGGGAAUGAGGAGAUUAUGGGGAAUUCAUGGUGUUGUUUUGGGGAAGAUUGGACCAUCACCACCGCCGUGAGUGAUUUCCGGCGGGUGGUUGGCAGCAGAGAUGGUGAAGAAAAUGAGGGUGGCUAGGGUUACGUUUUUUGGAGAAGGGGAGGGGAACUGAGGAGAUAUGGACAUGGAGGGGGAUUAUUUUCGGACAUAUAUGUAUUAAAUCAUCACAUAGUUCCGAGCCGUUGGAUUAAUCAAAAUCCAACGGCUAAGAUAAAAGACGGGGUAAACGGGGUCAUUUUUGGAGUGUGGGGAUUGGACUGGGUUUUGGAGGGUUUCGGCUUGGGUUCUGGAUAACGGACCUGGGCUAUUUUGGGUCAAAUUAGCCCAAUUUCAAAAAAUAAAACCCCUUUUAAAAUCCAACUCUUUAUUUCCCCUUUUCUCUUUUUUUUAAUUAAAAUCCUAAUAAUUAAAAAUCCUAAAUCAUUUAAAAUGUGAAAAACUAAUUAAACAAUUAUAAAAAUUAUAAAAAUCACUUAAUUCUAAAUUAAAAGAGAAAAUCAAUAAAUUAAAAAUUAAAAGACAAAAAUAUAAAAAUGAGCUAUUUUUGUGAUUUUCAAAUUUCUAUAAAACAAAUAAAUAUUGAUUAAUUCCAAGAGUAAAAACAAAUCCUAAAUGAAAUGCAUGAUAUUUUUGAUAUUUUUCAUGAUUUAAAUAAAAAUUAAACAUGCACAGAAAUGUAAAUAAUUAAGAAAAUUCUACAAAAUUCCUAAAAUGGCAAAUAAUUAACAGAAAAACUUAUUUUCUUGGGAUUUAUAGGAGUAUUUCAUAUAGGGCAAAAAUCACAUGCUCACAAUUUCGGGUUUUGGGAGAUGUGUUUAGCUUUCGAGAGUUAUUAUUGUGUAUGCCAAGCGGCAUUUUACAUUACUGUUUUAUUCUACUACUUCGGUUUUAAAUUAUUUCUUCCGCAAAUUGGUUUAUUUUUUUGCAUUGUUAGGCUUACCUAGUCGUAGAGACUAGCUGCCGUCACGAUGAUUAACGGAGGGUGAACCGGGGUCUUGACAAGUUGGUAUCAGAGUUCUAGGUUCAUAGGAGUCAUGAAUCACAAGCCAAUUUAUUAGAGUCUCGUGGAUCGGUACGGAGACGUCUAUACUUAUCUGCGAGAGGCUAUGUCUAGGAAAAUUCCACCUCAUUUGAUUUCCUUGUCGUACGAGGUUUUGACAUCACAAUUCUUAACUUCUAUCUUCUAUUCCCUUACAGAUGGUGAGGACACGCGCUACCCGAGAUGAUCAGGCACUCGCGCCCCCUACUGCAGCCGUCAGAGGCUAGGGAUGGGGUAGAGACCGAGGAUGUGCACGUGGUGCAGCCAGAGCACCUGCGUGAGCUACCACUGAGGUACCACCAGCAGUUCCAACCAGAUUCCAGGCACCUGAUACGCCUACUGCUAGUACUACUCCAGCACUUCAGGAGACUCUAGCACAGUUUAUGAGCAUGUACACAACUUUGGCUCAGGCAGGGUUGCUUCCCCUUGCUGCAGCGAUAUCUCAGGCCGGGAGAGGAGCACAGACUCCCACCACCCACACUCCUAAGCAGCGAGUGCAUGUUGAGCAGGUCCUUGAGAUUAUUCCUGUAUGGCCUACAGUCCGAGAUCAGCCCGAGGACAGGGCAGUGGUUUCCGAGGAUGAGCAGCUGAGGCUUGAGAGGUUCAAGAAAUACAAAACUCCUAUAUUCAGUGGUCUAGCAUCGGAUGAUGCUCUAGGAUUUCUAGAUGAUUGUUACCGUAUUUUCCGUACCAUGGGUAUAUUAGGGUCAAGCGAGGUUUCCUUCACUACUUUCUAGCUUUGAGGAGCCACCUAUGAGUAGUGGUGCACCUAUGAGUUAGACAGUCCGGAUGAGGCUGCUUCACUGACUUGGACUCAGUUUUUAGAUCUGUUCAUGAGAGAGUAUGUUCCUUAGAGCCUCAGGGAAGCAUGGCGUGCAGAGUUUGAGCAUUUGCGCUAGGGUGCUAUGACCGUCUCAGAGUAUGCUGUUUGUUACACUAGUUUGGCUAGACAUGAACCAGCCUUGGUUUCUACUGUUCGCGAGAGGGUUCGCCGGUUAAUGAGGGCCUUAUUCCCAGCAUCAAGUCUAGCAUGGCUCGUGAGUUGGAGAUGGAUAUUUUUUAUUAGCGGGUGGUGAGAAUUUCUAGGAGGAUUGAGGGGUAUGCAUUCUAGGGAGAGAGAGGAGAGAGAGGCCAAGAGGUCUCGAGAGUCGGGCCAUUAUUCUGGUGCCCGUGCCUCAGCAGCAUGUCGUCAUGGUAGGAGUUAUAUGAGUCGCCCCGUUCAUUCAGCAGCUAGUGGUAUUCCCGCUCUUCUUAGGCCUCAGGAGCCUUAUUAUGCACCUCUGGUAUCUAGCGCGCCUCCUGCGCGGGGUUCUUUCAGAGGUCAGUCUAGCAGACCUGGCUCGAGCUAGUCACAGUCACCACGUCCUCCCAAAGCUUGUUUUGAGUGUGGUGACACACGCCACAUGGUGAGGGAUUGCCCUAGACUUGGGAGGAGUGCGCCUCCAUAGACUUCUCAGCUAUAGUGCACGUAGUAGAGUUCUCAGGCUAUGGUUACUGCUCCAGUUGCUACCCCACCUGCUCAGCCAGCUAGAGGUAAAGGUCGGGGAGGUAGAGGUCUCCCUAGAGGGGGAGGCCAGGCCCGAUACUAUGCCAUUCCUGCCCGUACCGAGGUUGUUGCCUCCGAUUGUAUCAUCACAAAUAUUAUACUGGUUUGUCACAGAGAUACAUCAGUUCUAUUCGAUCCAGGCUCCACUUACACUUAUGUGUCUUCUUAGUUUGCUCCACAUUUGGGUGUACCUCAGGAUUCUUUGAGUUCCCUUAUUUAUGUUUCUACUCCUGUGGGAGAUUUUCUUGUUGUGGACCGCAUUUAUCGAUCGUGUUUGGUUGCUCUUAGUGGUUUUGAGACUAGAGCUGAUUUAUUGUUGCUCAGCAUGGUAGAUUUUAAUAUUAUCUUGGGCAUGGACUGUUGUCGCCCCAUUAUGCUAUUCUUAAUUGUCACGCCAGAACCGUGAUGUUGGUUAUGCUAGGUGUACCGCGUGUUGAGUGGAGGUGUACUUUAGAUUACACUCUCAGUAGAGUUAUUUCUUUCCUUAAGGCUCAGUGAAUGGUUGAGAAGGGGUGUGACGCGUAUUUAGCUUAUGUGAGAGAUGUCGGUAUUGAUACCCCUUCAGUUGAUUCAAUCCUAGUAGUACGAGAUUUUCCCGAUGUGUUUCCAGCUGAUCUUCCGAGCAUGCCGCCGGAUAGAGAUAUUGAUUUUGGCAUUGAUCUGUUGUCGGGCACUCAGCCCAUUUCUAUUCAUCCAUAUCGUAUGGCUCCUCUUGAGUUGAAGGGGUUGAAGGAUCAAUUACAGGAAUUGCUUGAUAAGGGUUUUAUUCGGCCUAGUGUAUCACCUUGGGGUGCUCCUGUCUUGUUUGUGAAGAAAAAGGAUGGUUCUAUGCGUGUGUGUAUUGAUUAUUACCAGUUGAACAAGGUUACAGUGAAGAACCUUUAUCCUUUGCCUCGUAUUGAUGAUAUGUUUGAAAGCUCACGGGUGUUUUCUAAGGUUGACUUGCGCUCAGGUUACCAUCAGUUGAAGAUUCGGGAGCCAGAUAUCUUGAAGACUACUUUCAGGACUCGGUAUGGUCAUUAGAGUUCCUUGUUAUGUCAUUUGGGCUGACCAAUGCCCCAGCAGCCUUUAUGCAUUUGAUGCACAGUGUGUUCCGGCCAUAUCUUGACUCGUUAGUCAUUGUCUUUAUUGAUGAUAUUUUGGUAUAUUCCCGGAGUUGGGAAGAUCAUGAGUAGCACCUGAGGACAGUGCUUCAGACCUUGGGAGAAAAGAAGUUAUAUGCUAAGUUCUCAAAAUGUGAGUUUUGUUUGGAUUUUGUGGAAUUCUUAGGCCACGUGGUGUCGAGUGAGGGUAUUCAGGUGGAUCCGAAAAAAGUAGAGGUCGGCAGAGUUGGCCCAGACCAUUCUCAGCUACAGAGAUCCGUAGUUUUCUUGGUUUGGCGGGUUAUUACCGUCAUUUGGUGGAGGGGUUUUCAUCAAAUUCAGUCCCUAUGACCAGACUGACCCAGAAGGGUGCUCCGUUCCAGUGGACGGAAGAGUGUGAGGCGAGCUUUCAGAAGCUCAAGACAGCUUUGACUACAACCCCAAUUUUGAUACUACCUACAGGUUCGGGGUCUUACACUAUCUAUUGUGAUGCCUCAAGGAUUGGCCUUGGAGCCUGUUUUGAUGCAGGAUGAUAGGGUGAUUGCCUACGCGUCUAGACAGUUGAAGGUUCAUGACAAGAAUUAUCCGGUCCACGACCUUGAGUUAGUUGCCAUUGUUCAUGCCCUGAAGAUCUAGUUUCAUUACUUAUACGGGGUUCCUUGUGAGAUUUAUACUGAUCAUCGAAGCUUGCAGCACCUGUUCAAGCAAAAGGAUCUAAAUUUGCGCCAGAGGAGAUGGUUAGAGUUGCUGAAGGACUAUGAUAUCACUAUUUUGUAUCAUCUGGGCAAGGCCAAUAUGGUGGCUGAUGCCUUGAGACACCGAGAGUUUGGCUUAUUUACCAGCAUCGGUGAGACCUAUGGCGAUGGAUGUUCAGGCCUUAGCCGGCCAGUUUGUGAGAUUGGAUCUUUCGGAGCCCAGUCGGGUUCUAGCUUGCGCGGUUUCUCGGUCUUCCUUAUUUGAUCGUAUCAGGGAGCGUCAGUAUGAUGACCCUCAUUUGCUUGUCCUUAAGGACAAGGUUCAGCAUGGUGAUGCUAGAGAUGUGACUAUUGGUGAUAAUGGGGUAUUGAGGAUGCUGGGUCAAACUUGUGUGCCCAAUGUUGAUGGGCUUCGGGAGUUGAUUCUGGAUGAGGCCCAUAGUUCGCGGUAUUCCAUUCAUCCGGGUGCCGCGAAGAUGUAUCAGAAUUUGAGGCAGCACUAUUAGUGGAGGCGGAUGAAGAAAGACAUAGUUGCAUUUGUAGCUCGGUGCCUCAACUGUUAGCAGGUGAAGUAUAAGCACCAGAGACCAGGUGGGUUGCUUCAGUAAAUAGAGAUUCUGGAGUGGAAGUGGGAGCGGAUCACCAUGGACUUAGUAGUUGGGCUCCCACGGACUUUGAGAAAGUUCGAUGCUAUUUGGGUGAUUGUGGAUCGGCUGACUAAGUCUGCGCACUUCAUUCCUAUCUGUACUAUCUAUUCUUCGGAGUGUCUAUCGGAGAUUUAUAUCCGGGAGAUUGUUCAUCUGCAUGGUAUUCCGGUUUCCAUCAUUUCAGAUAGAGGUACUCAGUUCACAUCACGAUUCUGGAGGGUCGNNNNNNNNNNNNNNNNNNNNNNNNNUGCUUUCCCCGUGUUUAUUUCUGCUAUUUUGAUUUGCCGGGAUGUUCGAUUUUGAGUUUCGGAGAGUUUUGGGACAUUUAGUCCCUAAAUGAGAGCUUAAGUUGGGGAAAUUUGACCAUAGUCGGAACUGUGUAAAGACAGCCUCGGAAUGGAAUUUUGAUGGUUCCGUUAGGUCCAUUAGGUGAUUUUGAGUUUAGGGGCGUGAUCGGAUUGUGUUUUGGAGGUCCGUAACUAAUUUAGGCCUGAAAUGUCGAAAGUCAAAUUUUUGAAGUUUCCGAUUCGAUAGUGAGUUUUUGAUCCGAGGGUCAGAAUGGAAUUUUGAAAGUUGGAGUAGCUCCGUAGUGUUGAAUGUGACGUGUGUGCAAAAUUUUAGGUCAUUCAGACGAGGUUUGAUAGAAUUUUUGAUCGAAAGCGUAAUUUAUGAGUUUUGAAGUUCUUAGGCUUGAAUCUGAUGUUAAAUUGGUGUUUUGAUGUCGUUUUGAGUGUUCCGAAGGUUGGAACAACUUUGAAUGAUGUUUUAGAAUUGGUUGGCAUGUUUGAUUUAGGCCCCGGGGGCCUCGGGUGAGUUUCGGGUGUUUGGCGAAAGUUGAAUUUGGACUUAGGAAGAUUUUGCAUUGCUGAACCUGUCAUAACUGCACCUGCGUGUGUGGGACCGCAGGUGCGGCACCGCAUGAGCGGCUAUUGGACCGCAAAAGCAGAAAGUUGGUCCAGCUCCAAGAGCCGUAGGUACGGAAAGUUUGUCGCAGAAGCGGAAAGUAGAUUUAAUGAGAAGUCACAAAUGCGACCUUGGCUCCGUAAAAGUGGGACCGCAGGUGUGGUCUCAGGGCCGCAGAUGCGGUUUAACUGGGUAGAACAUAUAAAUACUUGCCUUCGCGAAUUUGAGUUAUUUUCACCUCUUUUCAAACGGGAAAAAGCCUUGGGGAGCAUUUUCAAGGGAGAUUUUCAGAGGAAUUCAUUGGGGUAAGGUCUUUGGUCCCUAACUCAUUAUUGGGGUGAUUUUUAUGAUUAUAAACAUGAAAAUUUAAGGAAAAUCAAUGGUAAUUUGGGGGUUAGGGCUUGACUAAUUAGAGGCUUUUGAGUGAUGAUUUGAGGGACCAUUUGAGGUUCAAUUCUGGUAAUUUUGGUAUGACUGAACUCGUGAGAGUGUGAGGAUUCUGGAAAUAUAAAUUUCACCCGAUUCCGAGAUGUGGGCCCGAGGGGCGUUUUGGUCAUUUUACCUAAUUUCGCGCAUUAGCUUAGAAUGUAAUUGUAGAAUCAGUUACUUGAAGUAUGAUUUACAUUAUGUAAUUGAAUUGAAUAGAUUUUGGUCAUCUGGAGUUGAGUACUCAUGGCAAGAGCAUGGUUUCGGGUUAAUUUGAGCUGGUUCGAGGUAAGUGGUUUGCCUAACCUUGUGUGGGGGACCUUUCCCCUUAGGAUUUGGUAUAUUUGAUAAUUGAAAUGCCUUGUACGUGAGGUGACGAGUGCGUACUUGAGCUAAUUGUUGAAAAUCCGGUCUUCUUUAAGUAAUUUCAAUUGUGUUCCUUUUUCCUGUUUUAUACUACUUGCAAUUUAAGCCUGCUGUCAGCUUAGAAAAAGCAUGUUUAAUUAACUUGAUUACUUAUCUGCUUAAACUGCCUUAAUUGUAUUAUGUGAAGCAUGUUAGGUUAGAAUUACUUGUUUACUUGGUACGAAAUUGAGCUUAAUUGAGUAUUCUUUGUGUUGUUGGUGUGUGUUAUUACUUUGGGACUACGGGAUGGCAUCCAGGGAGAUCCCCUGUACGUAUUUAUGAUUAGAUCUGAGGUGCAGGAUACCGAGAGAUCCCUGGCACAUAUAUUGAGGAUACCAAGAGAUCCUCGGGAUACCAAGAGAUCCCUAGUAUGUAUUGAGGAUACCAAGAGAUCCUGGGGAUACCAAGAAAUUCCUAGCAUAUAUUGAGGAUACCAAGAGAUCCCUGGCAUAUAUUGAGGGUACUACGAGAUCCUCGGGAUACUGAGAGAUCCCCGGUUAUUAUCCUUGUGAAGAGUGAUAUUUUCUUGUGAUUGUUUUUAUCUCUGUUCCAGUUAUUGUAUUCUUUAUUAUCCUGCACUAAAUUCUUACUGUCGGCUUUCAACUGUACUGCUUAUCUUAUUCUGUCAUCCCUUAUAUUUUAUUUAAUCUCAGUAGGGCCCUGACCUUCCUCGUCACUACCUGACCGAGGUUAGGCUUGGCACUUACUGAGUACCGUUGUGGUGUACUCAUGCCCUUUCUGUACAUGUUUUUCAUGUGCAGAUCCAAGUACCUCUAUGCAGACUUUACACGCUUAAGAUGGGGUGUUCGUAGAGACUCCGAGGUAUAUAUGUCGUGUCCGCAGACCGAAGAGUCCCUUUUCUACUCUCCCUUUUGUAUUAGCCCUUCCGUACUUUGUAUCCUUGUUAGAUAUUCUGGAGUUAGACGUUGUAGACUUUCAAAGGCUUGCGAUCAUGAGAUUCCGGGUUUUGGGAGAUGUGUUUAGCUUUCGAGAGUUAUUAUUGUGUAUACCAAGCGGCACUUUAAAUUAUUGUUUUAUUCCACUACUUCGGUUUUAAAUUAUUUCUUCCGCAAAUUGGUUUAUUUUUCCACAUUGUUAGGCUUACUUAGUCGUAGAGACUAGGUGCCAUCACGAUGGUUCAUGGAGGGCGAACCAGGGUCGUGACACAAAUCUAGCCAAAUAUCGUUCAAAUAAUUCAAAAUGAGCUUUAGAAACUCCCAUGAAUGAAUAGGGUUCAAUUUUGAUUAUUUUUUAAAAAGUCAACCCCGGGCCCGCCCGGUCAAAAUCCGAGAUUCGAACCAAAACUCGACUACCCAUUCACCCUCGAGCCCAUUUAUGUGAUUUGUUUCAAAAUCCGACCUCAAUUUGAGGUCUAAAUCUGAAGUUUUAUAAAUCCCUAAAUUCUACCCAAAACCCCUAAUUUGUACCCUGAAAUUCCUAGAUUUGAUGUUAAAAACCCAUCAAAAGAAAUAGGAAAUUGAUAUAAAAUGAAUUGGAAUUGCUUACCAAUGAAUUUGGGAAGAAAAUGUUCUUCAAAAUUGCCUCUAGAGUGUUUGAGGUUGAGAAAUGGUGUAAAAUGAGCUAAGUUUCAUUUUUCCUCUCUUUUACCCAGCUGCAGACGUCGUAUUUGCGAAGUAUUUUUCAUAAAUGAGAUGUCCGCAAAUGUGAAACACAAAACGCAAAUGCGAUCAGUGCAUCAGACAGCCAAUCAUCGCAAAUGCGACAAAUAUAUCGCAAAUGUGAACUACCAGCCAUCGCAAAUGUGAGCUUAGCUUCACAAAUGCAAAGCUGCCCAAACACUACACUGCAUCGCACAUGCGAUGAAAGAGUCAUAAAAGCGACCACUGUAUAGAUCGCAAAAGUGUUCCAUUCUUUAUAAUUGCAAAGACCCAGCCCCCAACCCAUGUUUGCACAUGCGAUCAUUUGACUACAAAAGCGAGGCUCGCAAAUGCGAGAUCUGCUACUGAACACCAGCAAAGUCUUGCACCAACAAUCCUAAAAUCAUCCAAACUCAUCCGAUACUCACUCGAAAAUCACCCGAGCCCUUCAUGCUCCAAAAUGAACAUUCACACAAGUGUAAUAAUAUCCUACAAACUUGCUCGUUAUCUUAAAUCAUCAAAAUAACAUCAAAUAACACAAAUCGAUCAUCAAAACUCCAGAAUUUCAACUUUAAAACUCAUUUUAAUAAUUUUUCACACAACACAUUGAAAUGUGCUCCAGUUCCCCGGACCCCAAUCAAACAUGCAUAUAAGUCCAAAAUUAUCAUACGAACCCUCCUAAACUGUCAAAAUACCAAUCCAAAAUUGUUUACCAAAAAUAUGGACUGUGGUAAACUCAAGUCUCAUUUUAGGCCAAAAAUCACAUUUUAUUCAAAAUUUUACGUAAAAGCUUUUCAGAAAACAAUACAGACCAUACACGUAAAUCAAGAAAUAUCUAUAAGAAGUCUUGGAAUACAAAAAUUAAGGCUAGUGCUCGAAAUAACAUAUCGGGUCGUUACAGCACCUGAGGGGCCCACCGAAACUUCAAGAGACUUUGGCUCAUUUUAUGAGUAUUUUUGAGAGCUUGGCCUAGGAAGGGUUGAUUCCGAUUGUACCAGCUACUUCACAAAUUGAGGGAGGAGCCCAGACUCCCACCGGACAUACACUAGAGCAGCUCACUCAUGUUUAUCAUACACCGAGUGUUCUACUGAUGUAGCCAGUAAUUGUAGUUCACCUUAAGGUAGGACUAGUCAUCUAUGUUGAGGAGUAAAAGAUGAUGGAGAGGUUUUAGAGACUUCGUCCUCCCAAUUUCAAUAGAGGGGCUACUAAGGAUGCAUUAGGUUUCUUGGAUAAGUGUCAUCAUAUUUUGCGUACUUUGGGUUUGGUGGAGUUGAACGGGGUUGACUUUACUACCUUUUAGUUGACAAGGCUAGUGUAUGGAUGGUGGAAAACUUAUAAGGCAAUUAGGCUAGUGAGUGCAUCACCACUUACAUGGUCUGAGCUCUCAAAUCUUUUCUUGGGGGAGUUUAUCCCACAAACCCGCAGGGAUGAGUUAUGCAUUGAGCUUGAGCAUUUGCGCCAUGAGCGUAUGACUAUGAAUCAAUAUGAUAUGAGGUUUACAAAGUUAUCAUGCUAUGCAGAUUCUUUGGUUUUUACUGAGAGAGUGUUCAUAGAUUUGUUGAGAGACUCACUUACAGCCUUAAAUUUAGUAUAGCACAGGAGAUGGAGACUGAGACUGCCUUUCAUCAGGCUGUGGAGAUUUCUAGGAGGCUAGAGCAUAUCCGCAGGCAAGAGAGGGAGGAUACGGAGGCUAAGAAUCCUCGUGGUUUUGAAGGCUUUAAUAGCUCUUGCUCUAAGGGCAAGGGUCAUCAUAGUAGAGGCUUUGUCAGUUGACUAGUUCAGUCUGCACUUCAGGUUUCACAUAGUGCUCUAGCUCGCAAUGGAUUUCAGAGCACUCAUACCGUACAGUCAUCCUUCAAUGCACCUCCUGCAUGGGGUUCUUACAGAGGCUAUUCCAGUUGCUCGGGAAAGACACUAUUCCAGCGGACACGUCCAUAGAGAUAUUGUUACGAAGAUGGUGAUACAAGGCAUAUUACAAGAGAUUGUCCCGGACUUUGGAUGAGUGUACCUCAUCAGGGUACCCAGGCUAUGACUCUCGCUGAUGUCCAAAUCCACUACUAAAAUGUACGGACACGAUCGCAUACAAUAUAAUAUACCUAAUUAUGAGUCCAGAUCGAAUCCCACAGAGAACAAUAUGUAGGCGAUUAGGUGUGUAAGAGAAUUAUUACUUGUUAUGCUGAGACAAACACUUAGAAAGAGUUUUUGAGAAUAUUUAUGUCUAAAUGCGAAAAUAUAAACUAACCUAGAGAUCAAGUAAAAUGAUCAAUGUCUACAAGCAUGGAUGCAAUAGUAAUUACACUCAAGUAACAAUCCAAUAUAUUUCACGAAUUUACAAAUAUGAGCUAGUUUAUGUUAUUUAGCCUCGGUUAAUAAUUCUAUAUUAGCGCCUUCCGAAAAAUAACAAGACUUCCUAAUUGAGUUAACUCUAAAAUAAUUAAGAGAUUAAACACACCUGAAUAAGGCUACAAAUAGCUCAACUAUCCCUAGGUAGAAUCUAUAAAGUGAGGGUUAAUGCCUCAAGUUCUUGUUAAUUAAUCUUUCUCAACCCCAAAUUAUCUUUUUCAAAAUUAAUUCAAAGUUGGGCGAGUCCUAGGGUUAGCUAAUCCCUUUGGAAAUAUUAAAGAACAAGAAUAAUUAAAGAUACAAUAACUCACUUCAUAAUAAAUAAAAAAACAUUUAAUACAUAAGCACAACAAGAUAAUUAAUCCAUACUUUAAAUAUAAAUAUUCUCAUAAACAAGAUUCAAGUGUUGGAAAAAAUAUUACACACUAAGAUAUAUAAUACAAAGUAAGGAAAUAAAGAGAUGAACAUAAAUGAGUAAGAAUUUCUCAACCAAAAGCUUCAAAUCUUCAAGAUCCAAGUGUGUGUGCAAGAACCCUAGCUUCCAAGCUUGUCUUCUCUAGUCAAGAGACUAAACAAUACUUCCUAGAUCGGCCAAAGAUAUUUACAAAUGAGCUAGGUCGUGUAUUUGUGGGCUUGGGAUCGAGAAAAUUUGAAAUGACAAAAGUGCCCAGAAUUGAAGCGUGACAUUUGCAUUUGCGAAUAUUAAUUGUGAACCUUGAUAUCACUAUUGAACAUCACAUUUGCGAAUAUUGCGAACUAGGCACUAUGCACUUGAUUUCGCAUUUGCGAUGACUAACUUCGCAUUAGCAAAGGUUGACUGUCUGGUUUGACUUCGUAUUUGGGGCAUUCAAUUCACAUUUGCAAAUUUUUUUGACUUAGUUGACUUCAUAAUUGCGAGCUUCUUCUCGCAUUUGCGAUCCCUGAGGCAAAUUUCCAGAUUUCUGCUUUUGAGCCCCUUUUUGACUUGGUUUCGCUUGGUUUCUUCCUGAUAACUUCUAAAUCACAUAAAACAUAUAAAAUAGAAGUAAAUGACAUUAAACACACUAUUUUAUCAAUCAAACAUAGCAAAAAUAUAAGAUUAAAGAUGAGAUAAGGUUGUAAAUUACCAACUUAUCACCCGCUCCAGAUGCUACACCACCUACAUAGCCAGCUAGAGAUGGAGGAUAGAUGGGUAAAGGUCGUCCUAGAGGGGCAGGACAGACUCGUUGUUAUAUUUUCCCUAGUAGUACUGAGGCAGUCACAUCAGAUGCAGUCAUUACAUGUAUUGUUUCGGUCUAUUAUAGAGAUGCUUCAGUAUUAUCCGAUUUGGGUUUUACUUAUUCAUAUGUGUCAUCCUACUUUGCUUUGUAAUUGGAUAUGUCUAGUGAUUCUUCUGCUACUCCUAUAUAUGUGUCUACAUCAGUUAGGAUCUAUUAUGGUGGAUCGUGGCUAUCGUUCGUAUGUGGUAACUAUUGGGGUCUAUAAGAUGAGGGUGAUCUUUUGUUUCUUAAUAUGGUGGAUUUUGAUGUCAUUUUGGGUAUGGAUUGGCUAUCUAUAUACCAUGCUAUUGUUGGUUGUCACACUAAGACUGUGACAUCGGCUAUGUCGGGGUUGCCGAGGUUGUAAUAGAGGGGUUCCUUAGGUCAUAUUCCUAGUAGAGUGGUUUCUUUUCUGAAGGCUCAAUAGAUGGUUGAGAAGGGAUGUUUGGUGUACUUAUAUUUUCAUAGAAAUGUCAAUGUUGAUACUCAUACGGUUGAUUCAGUCCUUGAAGUGAGAGAGUUUCUAGAUGUGUUCCUUGCAGACCUAUUGGAUAUGCCACCUAAUAGGGACAUUAAUUUUGGUAUUGAUUUGGCAUCGGGCAUUAGCCCAUAUUUGUUCCACUGUGUCACAUGGUUCCAAUAGAGUUGAAGAAAUUAAAGGAACAAUUGCAGGAAUUGUUGGAUAAAGGUUUCAUCAGGCCAAAUGUUUCAUCAUUGGGUGCACCAAUAGUAUUUGUGAAGAAGAAAGAUGGCUCCGUGAGAAUGUGCAUUGACUACAAGAAAUUAAAUAUGAUAACCAUCAAGAAUAAGUAUCCACAGCCAUGCAUUGAUGAUUUAUUUGAUCAGCUUUAGGGUGCUAGGGUUUUCUCCAAGAUUGACUUGAGAUCGAGGUACUAUCAGUUGAAGAUCAAAGCUUUAGACAUUCCUAAGAUGGCUUUCAGGACCCGUUAUGGGCAUUAUGAGUUCUUGGUGAUGUUUUUUGGAUUGACUAGUACCCCAAAAACAUUCAUGCAUUUGAUGAACAGUGUGUUCCAGCCUUAUUUGGAUUCUUUUGUCAUUGUGUUCAUUAAUGACAUCUUGGAUUAUUCCGGUAGUAAGGAGGAGCACGAGAAACAUUUGAGGAAAGUGCUCCAGAUUCUGAGGGAGAAGAAGCUAUAUGCCACGUUCUCUAUGUGUGAGUUUUGGUUGGAUUCAAUGGUAUUCUUGGGCCACAUGGUGUCUAGUGAGGGGAUUAAGGUGGAUCCAAAAGAGAUUGAGGCAGUUCAAAGUUGGCCCAAACCUUCUAAAACCACAGAGAUUAGGAGUUUUCUGGGUUUGGCUCUUGGUGGAAGCUCUUGAGCAAAUGCCAGGUUACGCCAAGUUCAUGAAAUACUUGGUGACUAAAAAGAGAUCCAUGGAUUGUGAGACCAUCAAAAUGACUCAUCAAGUAAGUGCAAGUGUACACUUGAUGGCUCCAAAGCUUGAAGAUCCCGGUGCUUUCACCAUUCCAUGUAUCAUUAGGAGUGCGAAUUUUGCAAAGGCAUUGUAUGAUUUAGGAGAAAGUAUCAAUUUGAUGCCUUACUCCGUGUUCAAAACUUUGGGUAUUGGUCAAUCGAGAGCUACUUCAAUGAGGUUGCAAAUGGCGGAUAGAACAAUGAAGAGGCCGCUUGGUUUUAUCGAUGAUGUUCUUAUUCGGGUGGACAAGUUUAUUUUGUCUGCUGACUUUAUGAUUUGGGACUGCGAGGUCGAUUAUGAGGUUCCGAUAAUAUUGGGAAGACCUUUCCUUGCAACUGGGAAGGCAUUGGUUGAUGUGGAAGCAGGGGAGCUCACCUUCCAUGUGGGUGAUGAAAAAGUGGUCUUUUAUGUGUGCAAAUCAAUGAAGCAGCCGAAUAGUACUGAAGUGUGCUCUUUUGUAGAUCUUGUCACGGAGGUGUAGUUGAUGAUACUAGUGCAAUGAUCAAUGUGGAGGAUCCUCUAGAAGAGGUCUUGUUGAACCUUGAUGUAAUUGAGGAUGAAGGUCGGGUGGAGUGUGUCAAUGCUUUGCAUGCAAUGGGUUCUUACUCUUAUGAGCCUCGAAAGCUCUAUUUGGAUCUUGAGAACAGAAAGACUCCACCAACAAAGCCCUCAAUUGAGGAACCUCCCGUUCUGGAGUUGAAGCCUUUGCCUUCACACCUCAGAUAUGAAUUCUUAUGCCCUAGUUCAACUUUACCUGUUAUUCUUUCGUCUUGUCUUAUUAACAUGUAGGUAGAUGUAACACUAGAGGUGUUCCAAAGAAGGAAAAAGGCAAUUGGAUGGACUUCAGCGAUAUUCGGGGAAUAAGCCUCGCCUUUUGCAUGCACAAGAUUAUACUUGAAGAUGAUGCCAAGCCCUCCAUAGAACAUCAAAGGAGGUUGAAUGAGGCUAUUCAAGAGGUUGUCAAAAAGGAGGUGAUCAAGUGGUUGGAUGCAGGGGUUGUGUACCCCAUAUCGGAUAGUUCUUGGACUUCGUCGGUGCAAUGUGUGCCGAAGAAGGGUGGUAUGACUGUGGUUACCAAUGAGCAAAAUGAGUUGAUUCUUACCAGGACUGUUACCGGAUGAAGGGUGUGCAUGGACUACCACAAGCUGAAUAAAGUGACCCGCAAGGAUCACUUUCCAUUGCCCUUUCUUGACCAGAUGCUAGAUAGACUUGCUGGCGUGCCUUCUACUAUUUUCUGGAUGGGUACUCAAGUUACAACUAGAUUUUGAUUACUCCAGAAGAUUAGGAGAAAACCAUUUUCACGUGUCUGUAUGGCACCUUUGCAUUUUCAAGGAUGCCUUUUUGUUUGUGUAAUACACCGGCUACCUUCCAGCGGUGCAUAAUGGCUAUAUUUACCAACAUGGUGGAGGACAUGGUUUCAGUGUUGUGGGUGACUCUUUUGAUGAAUAUUUGAAGAAUCUUCACAAGGUGUUGACCCGGUGGGAAGAGACCAAUCUUAUGCUUAACUAGGAAAAAUUCCACUUUAUGGUCGAGGAGGGCAUUGUCCUCGGCCAUAAGAUCUCAAAGCACGGUAUAGAGGUGGACAAGGCUAAAAUUGAAGUGAUCUCAAAGCUUUCUCCUCCUACUUUAGUCAAGGGGGUUAGGAGUUUUCUUGGGCAUGCAGGGUUCUACCGAAGAUUCAUCAAAGACUUCUCUAAGGUAGUGAAUCCUUUGUGCAAGUUAUUGUAAAAGGAUGCCAAGUUCGUGUUUAAUGAGGAAUGUAUGAAAGCUAUUGAACUUCUCAAGUACAAAUUGACAACUACUCCCAUUAGUACCGCACCCAAUUAGAGCUUACCUUUUGAGCUCAUGUGUGACAUAAGUGAUGUUGCGGUAGGAGUGGUUUUGGGUCAAAAAGUGAAUAAAAUGUUUCACUCGGUGUAUUAUGCAAGGAAAACAAUGAAUAAUGCUCAAAUGAAUUACACGGUGACGAACAAAGAGUUGCUAGCAAUUGUGUUGCAAUGGAGAAGUUUAGGCCUUAUCUCAUGGGUUCCAAGGUGAUAGUUCAUACUGACCAUGCAGCACUUCGCUACUUGAUUACAAAGAAGGAUUCUAAGGCUCGGUUGAUGAGAUGGGUCCUAUUGCUUCAAGAGUUUGACCUUGGGAUUAUUGAUAGAAAGGGGAGUGAAAACCAAGUGGCGGACCACUUGUCCUGCUUGGACGAGGAGGGGAGGCCUCGUGAUGGCCUCAAAAUUAAUGAUUCAUUCCCUGAUGAGUAACUCUCUCUGUAUCUGUGAAUGCAUGCANNNNNNNNNNNNNNNNNNNNNNNNNGAGCCCCUACUUGUUCAAAAUAUGUAAUGAUGGUGUGAUCCGGAGACGUGUUCCGGAAGAGGAGCAAAUGAGUUUUCUGGAUGAUUGUCAUUCCUUUCCCUAUGGUGGUCAUCAUGGUGGGGCGAGGACAGCUUCAAAGGUGCUUAGUUGUGGUUUUUAUUGGCCUACAUUGUACAAGGAUGCGAGUGAGCUUGUGAAGAAAUGUGAUGAGUGUCAAAGAGCAGGUGAAAUUUCAAAGAAGGAUGAAAUGUCUCUUACUACUAUUCUUGAGGUUGACAUAUUUGAUGUGUGGGGCAUUGACUUCAUGGGUCCGUUUGUGAGUUCUUGUGGAAACACGUACAUUCUGGUGGCUGUUGAUUAUGUUUCAAAGUGGGUUGAGGCCCUGGAUUUACCCAACAAUGAGGCCCAAAGUGUUGUGGCUUUUCUCAAGAUGAGUAUCUUUACUCGGUUUGGCACUCCUAGAGCAAUCAUCAGUGAUGGAUGGUCUCAUUUCUGCAAUAAGGCAUUUGAUACUUUACUUGCAAAGUAUGGUGUCAAUAACAAGGUUUCUACCCCUUACCAUCCUCAAGCUAGUGGGCAAGUUGAAGUCUCCAACAGGGAGAUCAAGAGCAUAUUGUCAAAGACGGUUAAUGCAAAUAGGACUAACUGGUCCAAGAAACUGGAUGAUGCUUUGUGGGCGUACAUGACUGCUUACAAGACUCCGAUUGCUAUGUCUCCGUACCGGUUGGUGUUUGGGAAAGCUUUUCCUCUCCUGGUUGAGUUAGAGCACAAGGCCAUGUGGGCCUUGAGAAAGUUGAAUCUUGAAUGGGAUGUUGCAGCAAAUCUCUGGGUGGAGAAACUCAAUGAGCUUGAUGAGUUCUGGUUUCAUGCCUACUCUAGCUCGUCCUUGUAUAAGGACAAGAUGAAGUACUUACAUGACAAGUAUGCUUGUGGAAAGGAGUUCAAAGUGGGUGAUUUGGUCCUGUUGUUCAACUCCCGGUUACGACUGUUUCCGGGAAAGCUUAAGUCAAAAUGGAGUGGACCUUUUGAGGUGGUGCUUAUGACUCCGUUUUGAUGCUCUUGAUUUGAAAACUAAAAUGGUGAAAUCUUUAGAGUUAAUGGGCAUAGAGUGAAGCACUAUCUUGGCAAGUUUGACGACAGCCGCAUGGUGGCAAUGAUCCAUCUCAAGUUAUUGAUGGUAACAUGCGUCAUGUCGCAACGUUAAAUCAUGCGCUUUUUGGGAGGCAACCCAUGUGUUUUUCUUCUUUUUUGAUUUUCUUUGUAGUUAGGAUUUGUUGGUGAACUAACUGGUUGUGAGAUAUGUGUAGGGAUGUUUGAUGUAGUACAGGUCAAGCUGGAGAAAAAAUUCUCUCUGAAGUUGGAUCACUGACAGCAGUCCUAUUUUUCGCAGACAACGGUGUCCUUAUCGUGGGGGCGGAAUUUGAUGGCAGAUGCGGGAUUGAAAAGUCCAAAAUGAGACUUCUUUGAAGUUUCAACCGCGUCUGUGGUGCUUUAUUAUGGUCAGCGGUGCCUCAUCGCGGCCACGAUUGAUUUUUCGCGGUCCGUGGUCAUUUCAAUCAGGUAGCCCUUCUGUUAUUCACAAGUGUGGAGAAUGGUGAUUUACCGCGACUACGCUAGGUAAGAUUGUGUGGGUCCCAAUGUUUGUCUAUAAAUAGAAUUUCAGGGCCGCCUAUACAUUUUUCGCUCAUUUAACUCUUAAACAAAACACACCAUUGUUCAUCCAUGCCCUAGUUUGCACAAACACAAGAAUUAGACUCCAUUUUCACCACUCAUCUCACAUCUGGUAAUUCCACUCAUUCCUUAGUCUUUAAUGUUGUAAUUAUCUACUUUUAAUUGAUUGCUCUUACUUCUUUGUUACGCCCCAUAUUUCCGUACAUGAAAAUACGCCAUAAAUAAAUUAAUGAGAGCCCGGAAGUGAUAUGUCACAUUCCGCAGUACUACAUUACGAUGAUGUCGCGCCCUGUAGUAUUGUACGUGGAAUUUGUCGUAAGGUAAUUAACAUCAGUCCAAGGAAAAGAUUAUUCGGAGAUUAUAAGGAUUAUGGUAUUUUACAAGUGAUUAGUAAAUUCAUAAAGGUAAAAGGGGGUGCAAGUCUAAGAAAACGAAUUUUGUCAAAGUUUGGCAUUUUGAGAUUAAAAAAAAACGGGUCGAGCGAUAAUACCCGAUAAUUAUAAACUAGUACCAUGCAAGGUACCACAUGACCAUGAUAGUAAGAUGUAUAAGGUAUAUUAAAAGUGAGUAUUAUUUUAAGUAAUUUGAGACAAUUCUUAAUUAUGCGGAUAAUUGGUUAACUACCGGGUAACAAGACAUUACCUAAUUACCUAAUAAGGGGAUAAAGAUUAAAAAUUCUCACACUCACUCCUACGUGGAAACAAGCCACCAACCAAACAAAUGACUCAUUAGCCAUUUGUUAUAUGUGUCACAUUAAGAAUAAUGGUGGAAAAGUUAAAGGAUAUGAGCCAAAGAGAGGCCGUAAGUGCUUACCAAAAUCCACCUAUUUAGUUGCAAUCAAUUCCUGUUUCCCUUCCCUUUAGAUGUAGACAUCUUUAAACCAUUUUGUCACAAAUCACCAUGGAAUAUACAAGUCACUAGUUGAUAACUUAAGAUCAUCACAUAUGGCAGUGAAGUCCAAAGUUAAUAAGCUGAGCACUCCAAGAUUGGGGUUUUCUCCAUCAAAUAUAUAUAUGAAGAUUCUUUAGGCUAAGAUAGCUGAUGGAUUCUAUAGUUUCAUCCUCUUUGUCUGUAACAACCGCAGCUACUAUAAUAUGGUUGCAGCUGACUCCUUUGCCUCUUCUUGGUUACUUGUAUUAUUAUUAAGAGCUAAGAGGUUCUCAUG
rnacentral:lncRNA from 1 species